CUUUAUGACCCUAAGAACGCAUCGAUCUUAGUAUUUGUUCCCCUUGACAAAAACUUCAUGCAAAUGGGAGGUUUUAUUCCUGCCAGAGCAAGUAUCGAACUAGGCAAAGUCCAUAUUCCAUCCCCGCAAAUCAAACCAGAAGCCACUGCUGGCCCAAAAGCAUCAGCCUUUGCCUUGUCAAUCUUUUCCCAGACAAAUAGAAUCAAGCUUCCCACACACGCGUCGAUGGCAAAGUAUGAGCCAACAUAGAAAGGUAUAGCCAUUGCCAUUGGAUUGGGAAUGAACCUGGCCCAUUUCUUACCCAACACAUCCUUGAUCAAAUUUAUCAGAAUAGCAGCACCGAAGAACCCAUAACAAAGAUAGAGGCAAUUCUAUGGCAGAGACGAGAAUCCUUCUACCCCCAAUAUUGCCAUGUUUCGAAAUACAGUAGCAUAAGGAGCAGGGUAUUGACUUCCAGGAGUCCCAAGAUCCUUGAAAGCCUUGAAAAACAGCCAAAAGACACAAGGUGAAAUAAUGCAACCCAUUGCAGUGCCAAUUAGUUGGCUCACAAACAUGGACCGUGGGGAAGAAAGGGUUAGAUAACCAGUCUUGAAAUCUUGAGAGAGGUCGGAGGCUGUGGAGACGAUAUUCAUCAUGACUCCACAGGCUGCUAGUCCUGCAAGAACUCCACCAUGAGAGGCACCAGCCCAUGCUCCAAUUGCAAAAAUUGCAAGCGUCCCAUAGGAGUAAGCAAGGGACCAAUCAGUGAGGCCACAGCCAUAAGCAUUACUGAAUGCAAGGGCUGGGGCAAAGAUGUAGAUAACCAAUAUGUAAUACCAUUUUAGUUCGGGAAAUAUACGCGGAACGGUGGCUGUGGAGAUGGCAGCAAUUGCGACAUAGCCUGCAACAGCAAACCAUGUUGGAAUUUGAUCUAUGAGAAAGAGUUGGGUGCGACGUUGCUCAUCAUAGGAGAUCCUAGAUGUCUUGGGAGAGGAACGGUCAGCAAUAGGCAGAGCACCAGUUGCAUCUCUCCCACGAAGUUGAAAAAACAAUGCAGCGAGUGUUCUGCUUAGAACCUUGAAGUUGUAUAGACCGUCACCCAAGAUCAAGGCAGUGGCAAUAAAUACCUGUGUUCAGUGCAUAAGCAUUGGUAUGAAAGAAAAGGCUUCAAGAAAAUGUUAAAAAUCAUGUAAUUGGCAUUCUUGUCACCUUAACCUUGUUAGAAAACUUACCUUGUAACCUUGGAGACCAUGUAAGCUGCCUGGUUUGAGGUCUGCUGGAUACCAGUCACCCCUUUUUGUAUCUAUGAGAGGCCACAUGAGACCCCAGGAAAGAAUUCCUCCUAGAAAAACUGAUAUGUUUAUGAUGUAGGGGCAAAUCAUUCCAACUCCAACAUAUGUUGCUGAGAAAUCAAAGAAAAAUCUGUACAUGUAACAAGAACAUUAUUAGUCAAAGAUACCACAACGAAUUUGAAACAGAAUGCCAUAAUAAAUGGAACUACAUUCAACAAGAAGAGAGGAUUUUGGAAGGUUGAGAAAUGCUUUUACUUUUUUCAUGUGCUUUAAGACCAAGUGAGGGGAACUCAGCUAAUCCACAACCAUCUCCUGCAGUGUAGAACCAUUGAAAGAAACCCCACAAGAAGCUGAAUGAGAAGAACUUGCCCAACACUCUCACUUGUUUCCUGUAGCAGUAGAAUAACAAAGUUCAAUACUCUUACAUGUCAAAUGAUCAUCCAACUAUAAGUGCAUGAGGUCUGAUAAUGCCUUACUUUGCUAGCUUGGCUCCUGCAGGAGUGUGGAAGCUGUUGAUGAGAUGAGCAGUUGCAGUGCCACUUGGAUAUGUCAAUUUGAAGUCUAUAAUCAUGACCUGGAAAUAACAAGGGAAACAAUGAGGAUUAAUUUUUGGAAAAUCUAUACAUUCGGCAAAAAUGUAAAAUGCAGAGAGAAGUUCUCUAUUUCCUAUACGAAAUUGAAUGGCGAUGUAGGUUGUAAAGUCUACCUUUCAAAGAGGCACCGCCGAAAAGAGCCCAAGAAAGCUAACAACAAACAAGAAGCCAAUCAUCCAAGACAGAGAUGGAUUUUUAAAGGCAUCACCAUCUUCAGUUAAUUGUUUGGCCACGGUUUCACUCAUUCCAAACAGAUAACUCCCAAAGCCUCCUAUUAUAAGGAAACAAGGAAAAAAUUAUAGAAUGGAAACCAUUAGUACAAAAAUCAACAAGUUUAAUAUCAUCAUAAGCAUAAUCACAAAUUAACCGUUUCAUUACAAUAAUUAAUUCAGUUUCGAAACAAGUUUGGCAAGUAUUCAGGCUUUUCUUGACUAUUUGGAUAAGUUAGAAAUAUAAUGUAUUCAUCUUGACAUUAUGUUAAUGAUUCACAGUUAAAGAAAAGGUUUGAUUAAUAACUCAAGCUCACAACUAGCAUUCUAGAAACAGAUAUUAUUCACAUUUUCCUUUCUUUUACUAAUGGAGAAGACUUCUUUUUCCACAAAUCAGAAUAUUGUUAUAAGACUUCCUGACAUAAAUCUGAACUUAGUAAGUCAUCCAUAUCCAGCGCAUAUGAAUUGAAUUGUCAAAAAAGUAUCUGUCAAGUGACAUACCAGCUGCACCCCUAACAUUAUCACACUCCAGGAGACAGAGAUAGAUUUGUUCAUGUCUCUAAUGGUAAGUUCAAGUGUUGAUUAGUUUAGUAAAACUUCACAAGUGGUAGUCAUAAAGCCUCAAUUUUGAUUUGUCUCUCAAAGACUUUAGGCAGUAAGAGAUUCUUUGUCUUCAAGGAUCAUGCAAAUCUACUCACAUCUGAGAUAAAAGGGAUCCAGAGAGAGAAAAAUGGUUGCCUUAUCAUGUAAUCUAGCAAUUAGAAGAUGGAAAUCUUGACAUUGAAUUUUAGUAACUACUGUAAGUUUGCAAUCUUUAAGAACAGAAACAAAACCAAAUGCACAGAAAUAUUAAUAUCUUGAUAAAAGAAACCUAGAUAUCUCCUCAACUUCGAAAGAAAACAGAAAAAAAAAUUGAAUUUCAAAAUAAUUAAGAGAGAUGAAAUGAAAAUUAAUGGCAGUAAACAGUACGGAAAGUAUACCACUAAAGGCAAUGCCAGAGGAGGCAACCACGCAAGUCUGUAUUACAGUGUUCUCUUGCCUCGUAAAGGGUUGCUUCACAAGGCCAGACUUUUCAAGAAACUUUUCCAGGUCUUGAUAAAAAAGAAGCCCAGAAGGCCAGCAGAGACAUUGAGGGAAGGUAUGAUACCAGUUGUAAGAUUGAGCUUCAUUACUAUGACGCAGAACAAAACGCUCAGCACGAAGCUCAGCACAAAGGCCCUCAGUGUCAGCUGAUUCCUCCAUGAUGGCACUUCUUGGAUCUCAAAUAUUCUUUCCACUUACAACUCUUCUUCUUGUUCCUCUUUCUUGUCCUUCUUUCUGUGACCAUGAUCAUCCUCCAAAUUAUAACCAUUCUCUACCUUGGUAUCGUCUCUUUCAUUACGUUCCAUUUUAUUUUCUUAAAUAAGUGGUUGUGAUUAUUGCUCAACACAUCACAGGCGAAUUGAAGACGAUGAAUAUGAGAAGGAGUUAAAACGGGUUGCUGUGGUGAGUUUUAAAUUUUAAUCUGUCUGGUUUUUUUUUUUUUUUUUUAAGAUUUAAUUUUAAAUUAAUUUCAUUUAAUAUUUUUGAAUUGUUUUGAAAUGUUAAAAUUAAAAAUAAAUUUUAAAAUAUAAAAAAUAUAUUAUUUUAAUAUUUUUUUUGAAUGAAGUGUAUUUUGAAAAAUAAUUAAUAUUAUAUUUUUAGACACCUUUAAAAUAAGAUUUUAAUGACAUGUGUAUGAGUUGGUGUGUGUGUGCCUAUAUUAUUUUUUAUUUUUUGGUUGAAAAUAAAAAAGUUUAAUUUCAAAUAAAAAAAUAAACUUCUAAAAAGGAAUGUUUUAAGUAAGUUACCGAAUGGCCACUGAAUGUAGAAGACGAGAAGUCAAUAGUCAAUUUCCAAAAAUUAAAAAAAAAAAAAAGAUGAUCAUUACACUUCCGACAUAUUUGUUACAUACAGCUUUUAUCGUCUUCCUCGACGCAUCUGAUAUUUUUUCCAUCUUUUUUCUUUUCUCGUGUUGGAUAACUAAGUCUGGCAUGGUUUUAUUGUGAGACUGAUAACAACUAGAAGGCCAUUCCAAUGCCACAUUGGACCACCUGAUAUGAUCAUAGCUAGCAAAAUGAGCAAACCUGAUACCAAAUAUAGCAACUGAUCAUAACAGCUCACAAAGGGUACUGUGAUUUUCACUUUUCACAUUGCAUGAUGCAUCUGUUCUACUAUCUUCUUCAAACUAGACAAGAAAAAAAACUACAUGCAUAUAUAAGUGAAUGGACAUUUGAUUUUCUUCUCCAUAAAUGAUUAUAGAGAAAAUAGUUGUUGGCUCCACGAAAGAGCAGGUGAUUGAUUUUCAACUUCGACUUUAUGACCCUAAGAACGCAUCGACCUUAGCAUUUGUUCCCCUUGACAAAAACUUCAUACAAAUGGGAGGUUUUACUCCUACUAGAGCAAGUAUCGCACUAGGCAAAGUCCAUAUCCCAUCCCCGCAAAUCAAACCAGAAGCCACUGCUGGCCCAAAAGCAUCUGCCUUUGCCUUGUCAAUCUUUUCCCAGAUAAAUAGAAUCAAGCUUCCCACACACAUGUCGAUGGCAAAGUAUGAGCCAAUAUAGAAAGGUAUAGCCAUCGCCAUUGGAUUGGGAAUGAACCUAGCCCAUUUCUUACCCAAUGCAUCCUUCAUUAAAUUUAUGAGAAUAGCUGCACUGAAGAACCCAUAGCAAAGAUAGAGGCAAUUCUUUGGUAGAGACGAGAAUCCGUCUACCCCCAAUAUAGCCAUGUUUCGAAAUACAGUAGCAUUAGGAGCAGGGUAUUGACUUCCAGGAGUCCCAAGAUCCUUGAAGGCCUUGAAAAACAGCCAAAAGACACAAGGUGAAAUAACGCAACCCAUUGCAGUGCCAAUUAGUUGGCUCACAAACAUGGACCGUGGUGAAGAAAGGGUUAGAUAACCAGUCUUGAAAUCUUGAGAGAGGUCGGAGGCUGUGGAGACGAUAUUCAUCAUGACUCCACAGGCCGCUAGUCCUGCAAGAACUCCACCAUGAGAGGCACCAGCCCAUGCUCCAAUUACAAAAAUUGCGAGCUUCCCAUAGGUGGAAGCAAGGGACCAGUCAGUGAGGCCACAGCCAUAAGCAUUACAGAAUGCAAGGGCUGGGGCAAAGACGUAGAUAACCAAUAUGUAAUACCAUUUGAGUUCGGGAAAUAUAUGCGGUAGCGUGGCUGUAGAGAUAGCAGCAAUUGCGACAUAGCCUGCAACAGCAAACCAUGUUGGAAUUUGAUCUUUGAGAAAGAGUUGGGUGCGGCGUUGAUCAUUGUAUGAGAUCCUGGAUGUCUCGGGAGAGGAACGGUCCGCAAUAGGGAGGACACCAGUUGCAUCGCUCCUUUGAAGUUGAAAAAACAAGGCAGUGAGUGUUCGGCUUAGCACCUUGAAGAAGUUGUACAGACCGUCACCCAAGAUCAGGGCAAUGGCAAUAAAUACCUGAGUUCAUUGCAUAAGAGUUGUUAUGAAUGAAAAGGCUUCAAGAAUAGCACUCUUGUCACCUUAACCUUGUUGGAAAACUUACCUUGUAACCUUGGAGGCCAUGUAGGCUGUUAGGUUUGAGGUCUGCUGAAUACCAAUCACCCUUUUUUGUAUCUAUGAGAGGCCACAUGAGACCCCAGGAAAGAAUUCCUCCAAGCAAUACUGAUAUGUUUAUGAUGUAGGGGCAAAUCAUUCCAACUCCAACAUAUGUUGCUGAGAAAUCAAAGAAAAAUCUGUACAUAUAACAAUAACAUUAUUAGUCAAGGAUACCACAACAAAUUUGAAACACAAUGCCAUAAUAAAUUGAACUACAUUCAAUAGGAUGAGAGGAUUUUGGAAGUUUUGUGUAAUGCUUUUACUUGUUUUCAUAUGCUUUAAGUCCGAGUGAGGGGAACUCAGCAAAUCCACAACCAUCUCCUGCAGUGUAGAACCACUGAAAGAAACCCCACAAGAAGCUGAAUGAUAAGAACUUGCCCAACGCUUUCACUUGUUUUCUGAAACGGUAGAAAAAAAAAAGUUUGAUACUUUUACAUGCCGAAUGAUCAUCCAACUAUAUGUGCAUGAGGUCUGAUAAUGCCUUACUUUGCUAGCUUGGCUCCUGAAGGAGUGUGGAAGCUGUUGAUGAGAUAAGCAGUUGCAGUGCCACUUGGAUAUGUCAAUUUGAAGUCUAUAAUCAUGACCUGGAAAUAACCAGGGUAACAAUGAAGAUUAGAUUUUGGCAAAAUCAAUACAUUCAACAAGAAAGCAAAAUUCAGAGAGAAGUUUUCUAUUUCCUAUACGAAAUUGAAUGGCGAUGUAGGUUGUGAAGUCUACCUUUCGAAGAGGCACCACUGAAAAGAGUCCAAGAAAGCUAACAACAAACAGAAAGCCAAUCAUCCAUGACAGAGAUGGGUUCUUAAAGGCAUCACUAUCUUCCGUUGAUUGUUCGGCCACGGUUUCACUCAUUCCAAACAGAUAACUCCCAAAGCCUCCUAUUGUAAGGAAACAAGAAACAAAUUAUAGAAUAGAAACUAUUAGUACAAAAAAUCAACAAGUUUAAUUUCAUCUUGAGCCUAAUCACAAAUUAUUUCUUUCGUUACAACAAUUUCAGUUUCGAAAGCUCUUGGAUGAUAAGUUGGAAAUGGAGUGUAUUCAUCUUCACAUCAUGCUUAUGAUUCUCAGUAAAUGAGCAAGCUCAGUAUAGUAAAUUUUAUUAAAAAAAUAAUAUAUAUCAUAUCCCGUAGCCGUUCGUAUCUUUUGAUACAAGUAUACUUCACCUAACCGCUUGAUGAAAUCUAGAUUAACAGUAGAAACAAAUUAAUAACUCAUAUUUUCUUUUCUCUUACCAACGGGGAAGACUUCUUUAUCCGCUAAUCAGAAUAUUCUUACAAGACUUGUAUAAACUUUGAAGUUAGCAAAUCAUCCAUAUCCAGCUCAUAUGAAUUGAAUUUUCAAAAAAGUAUCUGUCUAGAGACAUCUGCCAGUGACACUUUAUGCCUCGUGGAGGACCAUUAGAAAAAUAAAAAGCAGCCCUCACCACCAUUAUCACACUCCAUGAGACAGGGAAAGGCCAGUAAAGAAAAUUUACAGACCAUUUAAUUAAACUUUUUUACUAAAGAAUAUUUGUCCAUGUCUCAAACAGCAAGUUCUUGUGUUGAUUAGUUUAGUAAAACUUCACGAGUGGCUGAAGCAAUAGCAGAACUGGUAGUCAUAAAACCUCAAUUUCGAUUUGUCUCCCAAAGACUUUAGGCAGUAAAGAAUUCUUGUCUUCAAGGAUCAUGUAAAUCUACUCAAAUCUGAGAUAAAAGGGAUCCAGAGAGAAACUUACAGUACUUGCUAAAACUCAAUUUCAAGAUUUGCUUCUUCUAAUUGCUAUAUUCCAUGGUAAGGAACAGAAACAAAACCAAAUGCACAGAAAUUUUAAUAUCUUGAUCAAAGAAGCCUCCAUAUCUCCUCAACCCAAAAAGUAAGAGAGAUGAAAUGAAAAUUAAUGGCAGUAAGAAGUACAGAAAGUAUACCACUAAAGGCAAUGCCAGAGGAUGCAACCACACAAGUCUGGAUAACAGUGUUCUCUUGCCUCGUAAAGGGCUGCUUCAAAAGGCCAGACUUUUCAAGAAAUUUCGUCCAGGUCUUGAUAAAAAAGAAGCCCAGAAGGCCAGCAGAGACAUUGAGGGAAGGUAUGAUACCAGUUGUAAGAUUGAGCUUCAUUACUAUGACGCUGAACAAAAUGCUCAACACGAAGCUCACCACAAAGGCCCUCAGUGUCAGCUGAUUCCUCCAAGAUGGCACUUCUUGAUUCUCAAAUAUUCUUUCCACUGACAACUCUUCUUCUUGUUCCUCUUUCUUGUCCUUCUUUUUGUGAUCAUGAUCAUCCUCCAAAUCAUAACCAUUCUCGACCUUGAGGUCAUCUCUUCCAUUUCGGUCCAUUUUGUGUUCUUGAAAAGAGAAAGAUUCUUUAUGGAGGCUAAGAAAGUUGGGAGAGUGUUAAAUAAGGUGGUGGUGAUUAUUGCUGUACACAUCAAAGGCGUGAAGGAAGAGGUAUAGACGCGUUGCUUAAGAAGUGUGAAAGCAAUGGGAGAUGAUGACUGUGAGAAAGAGUUGUGACAAUUAAGUGGUCGUAGUUGACAUAACGUGUUUCACUCUGGUUGCAGCCUUCACGCUGGGUAGGAAGUCAACUUGUCAAAGCAGUUUAUUUAACGUUGUCAAUUUUGUUUCGAUAGUUAUUUUGUUUUAUCGAUUAGAAUGAAAUGUUUAAAAUAUUUUAACGUAUUUUUUCAGAGUUGUACUAUAUAUAUAUAUAUAUAUAUAUAUAUAUAUAUUUAUUUAACAAACAUAAUUUAAAUUUAAAAUAAAUUAAUUAUAAUUUAUGCAAUACAAACAUAAUGCCAAACAAAUAUAAUUUUAAAAUUUAAAAUAUUUUUAAAUAGUCAAGAUUAAAUAGAUCUUUAACUUAAAAUAAUUCAACUUAAAUAAAUUAUCAAAAUAUUAUGAAAGUAAAAUGUUUUAACACAAAUAUUUUAAAUAUAAAGUUAGGUCAAUGUUAUCAAGGUUAAUGGAAUCUAAAGCAUCCCUUGUUUUGCUCAAAUUCCUACAAAGUAUAAACAUGAAAAAAACAACAUGAAUAUAAACCAUAUAUAUUAGUGAUAAAUCUAAUUUUAAAAAAUUAAUAUCAUUGUUAACGAAAAUAGUAAUAAUAAUUUUCAAUAUUAUUAUUAAUAUCAUUGUUAUUGAAAAUAGUAAUGAAAAAUAGUUUUUUAUAAUUGGGUGGUUUAAUUAAUUAAAUUGAACACGGUUCAAUUUGAUUCAAUGGCUUUUCAAGAGCGGAACGGAAUAUAUGGAAUGAAACCGGAACGUUCUAGGCGGAAUUUAGCCGAAAAAUUCGGAACGGACCGAGAUUUAAAAUGAGAUGAAAUUUGUUCCGUUUUGUUUCGUUUUUUGAAUUCAUAUGGAAUGUUUUGACCGUUUCAGGCGAAACGGAACGAAAUUGACAACCUUGGUUUAUUUAAACGUGUUCCGGGCUCAAGUCUUCUUGACUUGGUUAAAACUCUGAAGCAUACCUGGUUUUACUUAAACAAAAUAAUUAAAAUAAUAUAUUUUAAAUUAAAAAUAAAAAAGUAUUUUGAAAAUAUGUUAUUUUAAUUAAUGCCUAUUGACAUAAAUCUUGAGGUGGAUCAAUUUUACCAAAUUUUAUAACUAUAUAUACUUAAUUCAAAGGUUUGAAAUGAUUUUUGAAUCUAAAAAAUAUAUGUAAAGAGUCGAAAAACACACUGAGAUAUAAAUUUGUUUAUACAAUAAAAAUAAAUGCACAAUAAUUACAGCUUUUUUUUUUAUCAAAAAUAUAAUUUUUAACUAAAUUAAAAGGAUUAUUUCAUAACAAAUAAUUUAAAAAUUCAUAUGAAAUAAUUAUCAAACUUGGGAACCAUUUUGAAAUUUGAAAAGGUCAUGUUUUCCAUCCGCACCCCUAAUUUUUCUCUUGGAUUUCGUUAAUAAUUAACUUAAGAAAAUGGUAUACUUAUAUCUAAUUUGGACAUAUUUUUAUAAAUUUUGAUCUUAAAAUAAAUACAUUUAGAAAUAUAAAAAAGGAUAUAAACCUAACCUCCAUCCCUGCUGAACCAAUGGAGAAAGAACACGAAUGAAGCGAAGAAGUUCUAAAAUUACAAGAGAACUGUCAAGGGAUCAAAACAGCUGGUUAUUAAAGGAGUUUUUUGUCGGCUUUAUGUAAAAUAUUCAUUUAGAAAGAGAGCUUCUAAAUACAUCACAAGUUAAAUCUGUGCCAAUCUGUAAUGAAUAAAAAAGGUAUAAUAAUACUAUAAAUGACUUAAUAUCAAAUUAAUACUAGUAAUAAUAUUAGCAAAAAAAAGUGAAUCGUCACCUCAAUUUUUUUAAUGUUUUUGUAAAUGUUAUAAAUAUAAAAAGAGUUAUACCUUAGAUAAGCAGUUAAAAGUGAAACGUAAACCCUUCAAACAUUUAUUUUUUCUUGGUUUCUUAUUUAUUUUCGUUAUUUUGUAUUUUUUUUUAAUUUUAUCAGCUCUAUGUUUUAAUAAUUUCGGAAUGUCUAAGGCAAAUAAUUAAUGGUAUAAAUAGAACAAAAGGUAAAUAAUACAGUAAACAGAUGUACGUACCCCUACAUUGGUUCUUUUAAUUCCAUUGAAGUUCUUUAAAAGUAUAUUAAAAGUAUAUUUUUACUGUUAUUUUUUAAAAUAUUUUUUAUUUUAAAAUAUAUUAAAAUAAUAUUUUUUAUUUUUUAAAAAUUAUUUUUUAUAUUAACACAUUAAAAUAAUCUAAAAAUAUUUAAAAAAUAUUCAUUUAAAGUAAAAUAAAAAUAAAAAAAUUUAAAUUUUUUUUUAAAUAUUUCUAAAACACAAUUUCAAAUACUCAUUAAAUAUACACAGCUAGCUUUACAUUUUUUUUCCUUGACAAGGGUAAGAAACAUUACUGAGAUCAUCACAGUCGAUGGACCCCAUAACAGAGUAGAGAAAUUAAUUAAGACAAUUAAUGGUGUCUUGUCAGCUUUGAAUAUUGCAUGCAUCCGCGAGUGAUUGACGUGGAAUAAGUGUUGAGGGACAUUUCAAUGGAAAAAAAAUCAAAAGGGCAUAAAUAAGGGACCCCAUAACAAGACAGGGGGGGACCUGAAAAUAAUUAAAAAAUUAAAACCAAAAAAAAUGAAAAGAGAGAGGGAACCUGACACAUAAAAAAUAAAAAUUAACAUGAUAGUGUAGCUGGAUUAAAAAAUGAAAAGUACAUAAUAAAUGAAAAGAAAAUACUAACUUUAGGAUAUAAUUCAAUUAAUCAUGUCUUAAAAAUUUAUAAAAAAAUUAACUAAAAGUUAUAGUUCAAGUGAAAAAAUAAAAAGAGCAUAAUAAUAAAAAUAAAUUAAUUUUAAAAUAUAUAUCUUAACUAGUCAAGUUUUAAAUUUAUUUUUAAAAAAUUAUUAGUUAAAUUCUCAUAAAUUUAAAACCAUUAAAAUCUUUUAUAUAUAUAUAUAUAUAUAUAUAUAUAUAAAAUCAUUAACUUCAGUAGCGUAGAAAUGAUCUCCUCCAGCGUCACAAAUAGACCACCACAGCCCCGUCGAUUUCUCCUCCCUCUGGCUGUAUCGUCGCCACAAACCUAAGCCAUUUAAACUGAACUACCUGAAACCCACUAGCCUCGACUUCUCUCCUCCACUCUGACCACGGACCCCCAGCUCUCCACCACGCCUGCAACAUCUCUUCUCAUCUCUUUUCUCUGCCUUUUGUUUUCUUCCUUUUCCUACCUUCGUCUUUCUGCUAUGCUUUUCAAAUUUUAAUCCAAUUUUUUUAUUUUUUUUAGAUAACUUUUACAGCAACCCCCUCUUAAAUCUAAAUAUAUGCAGAGAAAACACAAAGAGCAUUUGAAUCAAUGUAGAAGGUUUUGAUCUGAUUAUUUAUUUUCCCUUUUCUUUUUCUUUUUUCUUUGAGAAUCAUUUUACUUGUUCGUUACUUUGAUUUCAUGGGCUCAGCAAAUGGACGUAAUUGUCAAUACCUAUAACCAUUCAUUUUCCAAGUCAAGACGCGCAUGCUCAUGAAGUAAACCUAUCAUCAUUCAUUUUCCAAGCCAAGAUCAACUCUUCAAUUAAUUAGUUAUACGAGGAAGGAUUUCAAUAGAUCCCACAACGACAAAUCAUCUCCAUCUUAUUUGGAGAGGACUAAUUUGCGUCUUAUACAGGUUCUGUAUCUUAAAGUCUGCCUUGGAUUUAAUUAAGAGAUCAACAUUUUACAUAUUAAAAAAUAAUAAAAAUUAUAUUUUAAAAUUUCAUAUAUCCCACAUCAGUUAAAUAUCAAGAGCUUAAAUAUCUAGAUGACAUAAGGUAUUAAAUUAGUCAUCUAAGAUUAGACGUGCAUAACAAGAAAAUUUAUCCCAGGGACAAAUUUGUACUUUUUGUUGGAUUUAAAGACGAAACUCAUCUCCCUCGUAGGGAAAUUCAUGGUGACUAAUUUCGUUCCUCAUUUAAGGAAAUAAAAACUAAUUUCAUAUUCAAAUUAAGUUUUUAAUCCUAGUGAUUAGAAUUUCAAAUUUUAUCACUCUUGUUAUUUUUAAUUAGAUUAAAAAUUAUUAGCAAGAUACUAAUAGCUCUUAUUCUUUCUAAUUAAAUUAAAAAUUAAAUAUAAGAUAUAUAUCCAUAGGAUAUGUAAAUUUUUACUUGAAGAAAUGUGCUAAAGAAUUAAUAUUAAACUAUUUUUAGAUUUUUAGAUUGAAAUAGUUAUUUAACAAAUAUUAAUAAUUUUAUAGCAUGGAUAAUUGAUUAUCCAUAAUUCAUGAAUUUAUUCUUAUGGAAUAUUAAAAAAAAAAAGAAUUUUACUACUUGAGUCCUCACUCCUCCCUAUUAACAUAGGUUGCUCUAAUAUCAAUUGACAUGGUGUAUAGUGUUAAGGAUCCUCAUACCCUAAAAUUUCAUAGUCUUAAAUUGCAGAGAAAGAAACUAGAGGUCUCACAAUAUAAAAGUCUUUAUAUCGUAAAUUCUUCCGUUAAAAAUAGCCUACAAGGAAGUUUAAAUACAAAAAACAUUAUAUAUGCUUAUUAGUAAAAUCCUAAUUAAAUUUUAAAUCCUAAUCUAAAUAGGGAGAAUAAUCCAAAAACAACAAGGAAAAUAAAUACAAUCUUAAGCAAUAACUUUUAGACUGAAUUAAGCAUAUUCAUGAACUCAAAUGAAGUUGUCGUACAAAUCAUUUAAGGAACAAGGCUUUUAGAAUGUUUUGUUAAAAUUUCAGCUCAACCCAAUAGUCGGAUGAUAAGUUAUACCUAUUUUCAUUAUACUACCCAUUGGACUCAUUUGAAACUCCUCAAAAUCUAAAAAAUCUUAACAAUGAAAAAAUAUAAAGAAAUAAAACAAAUUAUGCUAAGGAUAAUGAAUAUAAUGCCCUACUUUAUUCUUCUCCACUUAUUAAAAAAACUCGCUCUCGAUUUAAGUAUUAGAAACUGAACUCUUCCAUUCCAAAAACAUAGAUACUUUGAAUAUAGCUUUAUAGUGCAUAUUCUCUAAGUAUAAUGUCUUUGACUCGUGAGUUUCAAAUUCCAAUUUAUGGUGUAUGAAAGCUAAAGAAGGAUUCAUAUCAAAUAUUACACCUUUUGUUCUUGUAAAGUUCACUAGUAGUAGUUCACUGGUAGUUCCUUCACACAUUCUUAUACUUUAAACAUGAUCUCUGUUGUGAAAAAUCUGCAGCAAUUAUUGAUGAAUAUUGUAAAAGGAGAAAAACUAGAAAGAACACAAGAUUUAAUGUGAUUCGGCAAUGUGUAUGUAUCCCCAUGAGCAAUGAUAUUUUAUUUUUCACUAUAUGUCGAAUAGAAUUAUUGUGUAUUUAUAGUACACCCUAAACCUCUCAAGGGUCUAACCGUCUAAGAGAUAUUAUAAUUUUUUAAUAAUACUCAUUUACAGUAUCGUGGAGGCAUUGCCCCACACCCCAAUCUAUCAAUCAUUCUUGAUAACAAAUAGAAAAUAAAUCAUAACAUGAUAGAUACCAUCAUUCCACUUUACUCUAGCAUUUGUCUAUAUGAACUACAAACUACUUGUUAUUAUUUAUUUUUGGAUCCCCACACAAAAAAAGAGAAAAAUAAAAAAAAUACCAGAAGAAAACCAGAAAAUAGAUAGCAGUGAGAAGAAGACACAAGGACACCCAGAAAAUAGCUAAAAAUUGGUAGAGGAAGUUCAAAAAUACAAAGAUUGAAAUUUGACAGUAUAUUUUUGAUCGGUGAAGGCUCUAUUGACAAAAAAAAUUCAAUUUGAUGAAGAAAAGUCCAAAAUCAAAUGUUUAAGGACUCAAUUAGAUUUUUUUGAAAGAUUAAUUGAGUUUUUGAAGGGUUUGAUUGCAAGAAAAAUUCAUUUUUAAGUCAAUUUUGACUUUAAUUAGAAAAAACAUUAAAGUUUGGGGGUUAAAUUAUAAUUUUUAAGAGUUAAUUUGGUCAAAUCAGAGGCUUAAUUGCAUAAAUAUUGAAGUUUGAUGGGCAAUUAAGGACUUGAUUGAAGAAAUCCAAAACCAAAGACCCAACUGGAAAAGGCUCGCGAAUAUAGGGGCUGGAAUUGACCGAAUCAGGGGCUAAAUUGAAGAAAUUAAAAGUUUGUUGAUCAAUUAAGGGUCAAAAUACACAAAUUCAAAACCAAUGACUAAAGUGAAAAAGGCAUCCAACAUCAAGGUUGGUAUUUGAAUUUGACAGGGAUGCAAUUGAAUUGAUUCUUAAAAACAAAAUUGCAAUUGACGACUUGAUUGAAUAAAAAAAAUUGAGGACUGAUUUGGAAAUUGAUAUGUUUUGGCGCUAUUUUAAUUUAAAUAAAAUGAUGUAUUUUGUAAAUAACGACGCUGUUUCAUUCACUGUUCAUAUAUAUAUAUAUAUAUAUAUAUAUAUAUAUAUAUAUAUAUAUAAACUUAAAACGAUGUCGUUUUGAACGGCACUAUGUAUCUUUUUCUUCCCCUAACGCACAAAGGCAGGGGAAGAAGGUUUUUCUUCCAUUCCUUUACAGCGUCUAUCUCUCCCUCUCUCCCCCUCCCAUUGCCCAAAAACCACGACACCACCCACAUCCCCCGAGAACAAAGGAAGGAAAAAUGAGAGAAACAAAAACAAAAAAACAUAGAAAAAAAGAAAGAAUUGGAGAGACAAGAACGAGAGAAGAAAAAAAAAAGAGACAACAAGAAAGGAAUAAAAAAAGGAAAUAGAGGAAUUUCAUGCCCCUGUACAGAGAAGAAAAAACCGCAACAGCAACCACCGUUUUUUCUCCCCACCGUCGCCUGCUUUCCUCGUCGCCAUCGUUAGCACCACCGUGAAGCCACCACCAGGUCAACCUCUCCUCCUCCUUCUUUUUCUGCUUCUCCUUCAGUCACCCUCGACUAUUUUGCAAGUAGAGAGUGAUUUAUAAUUCAUUCUCUACUAUUCACUUAUAGAAUAGUGGAGUCUCUCCACUGUUUACUAGGUCAAACCAGUUUCGGCCCAGACUAAAAUGGUGGGAUCAGGUUCGGCCCAGUCCCAUAAAUAGAAAAGAAGUUUUGUUGGGCUGACAUCAGCCCAACCCCUAUUUUAAACUGGUGUUGGCCAAUGUUUUUAGCCGACUUGGCCUAUUUUAGACUGGUGUUGGCCCAACAUAUGUUGAAAUAGUCACAGUUUUGCGUGCUCACCAAGGUUGUCAAUUCCGUUCCGUUCCGUCCGGAAUGGCCGAAAUAUUCCAUACCAAUUCAAAAAACAAAACAAAACGGAACAAAUUUCAUCUCAUUUUAAAUCUCGGUCCGUUCCGGAUUUUUCGGCUAAAUUCCGCCCGGAACGUUUCGGUUCCAUUCCACAUGUUCCGUUCCGCUCUUGAAAAGCCAUUGAAUCAAAUUGAACCUUAUUCAAUUUAAUUAAUUAAACCACCCAAUUAUAAAAAGCUCUUUUUUAUUACUAUUUUCUAUAACAAUGAUAUUAAUAAUAACAUUGAAAAUUAUUAUUACUAUUUUCAUUAACAAUGAUAUUAAUUUUUUAAAAUUAGAUUUAUCACUAAUAUAUAUGGUUUAUAUUCAUGUUGUUUUUUUCAUGUUUAUACUUUGUAGGAAUUUGAGCAAAACAAUGGAUGCUUUAGAUUCCAUUAGCCUUAAUAACAUUGACCUAACUUUAUAUUUAAAAUAUUUGUGUUAAAACAUUUUACUUUCAUAAUAUUUUGAUAUUUUGUUUAAGUUGAAUUACUUUAAGUUAAAGAUCUAUUUAAUCUUGACUAUUUAGAAAUAUUUUAAAUUUUGAAAUUAUAUUUGUUUGGCAUUGUGUUUGUAUUGCAUAAUUUAUAAUUAAUUUAUCUUGAAUUUGAAUUAUGUUUGUUGAAUAUAUAUAUAUAUUCGGAGUGUUUCGGCGUGCCGUUUCGGGGUUGUACUGUUCAUAUAUAUAUAUAUAUAUGAACAGUACAACCCCGAAACGGCAUGCCAAAACACUUCGAAACUAAAAUAUUUUGUUCCAAUUAAAAAAACAAAACACCUAUCAAAACAAAAUUAACAACCUUGGUGCUCACAAGGGAAUACCUAUAACCAUUCAUUUUCAAAGUCAAGACACGCGUGUUCAUGAAGUAUACGUAUCAUCAUUCAUUUUCCAAGUCAAGACCGACUCUUGAAUUAAUUGUAUGAGAAAGGAUUUAUAAAUUCCACAACGAAUAAAUCAAACCUCUCUUCCCUUAAUUGCUUUUUUGUUAUUUCAAAAGUAUUUUUCCACCUUCUUAUUUUCGCCAUGCUUUUUUAAUUUUCAAUCCAAUCAGUCUUUUAAUUAUCUUUUGUCAAUUUUUACUCAGUCUUUUGUACUGUUUUGAUGUCUUAUAUGUAUGAUAGUUUCUCAGGUAUUUUGGAUUUUGGAAAUAUUUUUCUAGCUAGGUCGCUGGAAGAACGACUCUGUGACCAUAUCCUUCAACGUAGCAGGUCAUGAGCCCCCUGCUCUUUUGCUUUCCUACGAAUAUAAUCUUUCAUUCAUAAAAAAAUCAGAAGAAGAAGAAGUUAUUUUUACCUCAGCCAUGAAUGACUUUUUCUCGGCUGCGAGGAGCCCAAGACCUCAAAUUUGCAGUUUAUAAAAUCAACUGAAGAGCUUAUUUCAAUGUUUAUUUGUGCAUUAAUAGAUAAAUAUAUUAGAGUAGGGCAAUAUUGUGUAAUCUUCAAUCCCAUCAUACCACAGAAAAAAAAGAUCAAGUAAAAGUUGAGAGUGCUUAGUUUUUGCAUAACAUUUAUUUACAUUUCAAGUUGCCUGAACAAAACAGGCACUUAAACAGGUUUUGACUGUUUGUUUCUGAAGGGCCACACCAGAAGAUUAAAAAAAAAACAAAUAUCAUAGAAAUUUUAUUUAUUUGACUACUUAAAGAACCUGGACAUGAUCCACAGUACUCCCGUUUAAUGUUAAUUUCAACCUAUGUCACAAGUCACAACUGCUUCGAAGAAAAUAAUACGAAAGUAAUAUUUCGAGGAAAGUAUAGUUUUCCAAUUCAACAUCUUGGAAAAGUUUUUGAAAUUAAUUUAAAUGUUGAAUACUUUUCCAAUUCAACAUAUCGUGUCUCAUAUAUAUAUAUCAGCUAGCUAACCCUCUCCAUCUCUACAAUCACCCAUCUCGCAGACUAGCUCGCUCUCUACACAUACCAAGACAUACAUUUGAUUCCCUAAAAAUCUCAGGUUUCUUUCGUGUCAAGAAUGGGGUCUCAAGGAAAGGCUCGAUACUUGACAAUAAUAGUACUCCUUGUUACCAUUAUUUUGUUAUCAUGUUCUAACCUUACUGUGAUAGCAAGAAUAGAGAAGAGAGAUCCAUGCAUAUAUCACCCCAAUGAUCCUACGUGCAGACCCGGUGAACCAGCUGCAGCUCAAAGGUUUGAUGGGGGGAGGAGUUAGGAGAGGUGGUUUGACCUAAUCGUAUGAUGAAUGAUCAGUAAUCGUUUAUCCUUGUAUUAGCCAAGAAGGAAGGCAUGGCUACUUAAUUUAUCCAUGGUAAUUAUUUGUGUGUCCUCCUUCGCUGGUUAAGGUUACUUCCUAGCUAUUGCCAUGUUUUCUUUAAUUUCCCAUGCUUUUUGGCAUUUGUACCCAUUAAUUCUUCCCCUUGCUUUGAUUUGCCAAUGUUAUGCUAUUAAUAAAGUUUCUUCAUUUAUCUAAAAGAAAAAAACGCUUGCAUAUGCAUGCAAUUAAUAUUUAAAGUUUUUUUUUUUUGAAAGAUGUGUAUAUUAUUUAAACGCCAAAGCCUGGUGGGAGUAGUACAGAAACUACACAAUAUCUUACUAUGGCAAAAAGCCAUAAAUAUGAUAAAGCGCAGUAUAAGAAAAACAAAAGCAAAAAAAACCUUAGAAUAGCCAUCCGAAUGAGCUCAAAGCUAAAUUAACAAUCCUCUACAAAACAAAAACGAAAAUAACUCAAAGACAUAAUGGGAGAAGACACAAGAGCAAGGCCAUAGAAAAAAAAUAAAUGUAGUCAAAGCCAGGCAACAAAAUCACUUGAUCUCUGCACUCCUUGUUUAGCCAUGCAGUCUGCCAUGCAAUUACUUUCACGGAAGAUAUGGGAGAAGGUGAUUGAACCAAAAUAUGCUUUCAGCCUAUUAACAGAGGAGAACAAAUUAUGAUGCUUUCAAGGACGGCUGUGAGGCUUAUUCAUCCAGCUAAUAACAUUGACAGAGUCAGAUUCUAUGAUGAGGUGUUGAUGGUGGAAGAGACAAUUAGAUGCUGAAAGUUCAAUGGCUUUGACAAUAGCCCUUAACUCAGCAAUAUUAGAGUCUAAAAUACCAACUGGAAUAGAGAACAUACCGAGAAGAUGUCCAUGAUGAUUUCGCAGUACACCAACUAUUCCAGAAGGGCCUAGCUUACCAAGAGACAAGCCAUCCACGUUCCAUUUGAGGCUAUUAAUCAUAGGAGGAGACCACAUAUUAUGAAUCCUGAAUUUAAAGUUGAAAAGACAAUAAUAUUUUCUCAUUGGGAAAAUUAAUGUCUACGCGUUGAAUAAUUUGGCCUCUUCAAGUUAUGACAUUACUCUUUAAUAAUGUUAGAAGUAAAUGUCAAAACAAUCUUUUUAGUGAAUUUUGUUGCUGGUGGAAGUUCAUUUAAUUUGUACAGUAUGGCUUGUUUCCUGUUUUUCUUCUGGGUUUGGCUCGUAGCAGGUCAUGAGCCCCCUGCUAUUUUGCUUUCCGACGAAUAUAAUCUUUCAUUCAUAAAAAAAAUCAAAAGAAGAAGAAAUUAUAUUUACCUCAGCCAUGAAUGACUUUUUCUCGGCUGCGAGGAGCCCAAGACCUCAAAUUUGCAGUUUAUAAAAUCAACUGAAGAGCUUAUUUCAAUGUUUAUUUGUGCAUUAAUAGAUAAAUAUAUUAGGGGUCUCACAACCUAAUGUUACAACUUUUAGAAAAGGUUGCAGAGAAAACUUUAAUAUAUUAAUAAAAAAUAUUAUUUCAUAAAUUCUUCUUUGAAAAAUAGCCUAUAAGAAAGUUUAAAUACAAAAAUAAAUUAUAUAAUUAAACAGUAGCUUUUAAACUGAAUUUAGCAUGUUCAUGAACUCAAAUGAAGUUGUCUUACUAAUGGAACAAGUCUUUUUAGAAUGUUUUCGUACUUAAUAAUCAAAUGAUAAAUUAUAUCUAUUUUCAUUAGACUAUACAUUGAAUUCAUCCGAAACUCUUUGAAACCUAAAAAAAUCUUAACAAAUAAAAGAAGUUAGGCAAGAAAACUAAUUAUGCUACAUAUCAAAUAUUACACUUUCGUUCCUGUAAAUAUGCACAAAUAAAAAAAGUUCCUUGGGACAUUUGUAUACUUUAAACAUGAUCUUUGUUGUGAAAAAUUUAAAGCUUUUUGAAAUUUCGAGGAAAGUAUAGUUUUCCAAUUGUGCAAGAAACAAUUUAAAGUUAGGCAAGUCACAAAUGCUUCGAAGAAAAUAACAAGAAACAAUUUCGAGGAAAGUAUAGUUUUCCAAUUCAACAUAUUGGAAAAGUUUUUGAAAUGAAUUUAAAUGCUGAAUACUUUUCCAAUUCAACAUAUUGUGUCUCAUAUAUCAGCUAGCUAACCCUCCCCAUCUCUACAAUCACCCAUCUCGUAGACUAGCUCGCUCUCUCUACACAUACCAAGACAUACAUUUGAUUCCCUAAGAGUCUCAGCUUUCUUUCGUGUCAACAAUGGGGUCUCAAGGAAAGGCUCGAUACUUGAUAAUAAUACUCCUUGUUACCAUUAUUUUGUUAUCAUGCUCUAACCUAACUGCUCCUUUGGCUCCAUGCAAAUAUGAUCCCAAUGAUCCUAGUAAGUGCAAAGUCGGUGAACCAGGUGCAGCUCAAAGGUUUGAUGGGGGGAGGAGUUAGGAGAGGUGGUUUGACCUAAUCGUAUGAUGAAUGAGUAAUCGUUUAUCCUUCUAUUAGUUUGAAGGCAUAGCUACUUAAUUUAUCCAUGGUAAUAAUUUAUGUGUCCUUCGCUGGUUUAGGUUACUUACUAUUGCCAUGUUUUCUUUUCCCAUGCUUUUUGGCAUUUGUACCCAUUAAUUCUUCACCUUGCUUUGAUUUGCCAAUGUUAUGCUAUUAAUAAAGUUUCUUCAUUUAUCUAAAAGAAAAAAAGCUAGCGAAUUGUGUAUUUAUAAGGGUUUUUUACUUUUAUUUUUUUGAGAAGUCGACAUACUUCAAUGCAUGGUUGGUUUAUUAAUAUCUUUGUUUUUACCUAUUUUUUUGGGUUUCCACACAAAAAGAAAGAGAAAAAAAAAGAUAAAAUACAAAAAAAUUAAAAUUUUUUGUAAGAAGACCAAAAGAAAUAUAUAAGUGGGAAAAGUAUAUCGGAACGCCCCGAAAAUAGCUAAAGAUUGGUUGAGAAAGAUAAAAAAAAUACAAAGAUUAAAAUUUACCAUAUAUUUUCAAAUGAUGAAGACCCUAUUGGCAAAGAAAAUUAAAUUUAAGGAAGAAAAAUUUAAAAUUGGAUGUUUAAGGAAUCAAUUAGAUUUUGUUGAAGGUUUAAUUGAAUUUAUGGAGGACUUAAUUGCAAGAAAAAAUGAUUUUUAAGGCAAUUUAGGCUUUAAUUGAAAGAAAUUAAAGUUUAGGGAUUGAAUUGCAAUUUAUAAGAAUUAAUUUGAUCAAAUCAGGAGCUUAAUUAUAUUAGAUAUUAAAGUUUGAAGGGAAAUUAAAGAUUUAAUUGAAGAAAUUAAAAACUAAAAACCAAUCUAGAAAAGAAAAGAUGUGUAAAUUAAAAAAAAAUUACCUUACUUUGAUUUGCCAAUGUUAUGCUAUUCAUAAAGUUUCUUCACUUAUCUCAAAGAAGAAAAAAACAGCUAGCUAAUUCUGUAUUUAUAAGUUUUUUUUUUAGAAGUCGACAUACUUGUUGGUUAUUAAUAUCUUGAUACAAAUAUUAGGAAUUGAAUCUUUAUAUGUAUAGCAAAUAUAGUUUAUAUACAAAUGAGCAAACCUGAUACCAAAUAUAGCAACUGAUCAUAACCUUACCUGAUUGAGUAAAAUCCAAAGAUGUUACGUACUGGUGCAAAAGUUGUGAUAACAUCAACCAGCAAAACAACAGCUGAGGAAUUGAAGGCAGGAAAGCAGCAACCCAGAAUAACAACAGCGGUCUUGGGUGUGAUUCUGGAAGGUCGGAUACGAAUAAGGAAGAAGAAAUCAACAACGAUAAUUGCAAUAUGUUCAAAAUAAACAUGCCUGCAACCUGUAAUAUUUGCACAUGCACUUUUGAUAUUUUCCGUUUGCACAUUGUUUGAUGCAUCUGUUCCACUAUCUUCUUCAAACUAGACAAGAAAAAAACUACAAGCAUAUUUCCAAGGAUUGACUAACAAGCAUAUAUAAGUAAAUGGACAUUUGAUUUUCUUCUCCAGAAAUGAUUAUAGAGAAAAUAGUUGUUGACUCCACAAAUAGCAGGUGAUUAUCUACAGCAUUUUUUAGUCGAACUUCAUAUGUAAACUUCAUAACCUUAGUCUGGGAAGCAAUUCAGCUCUAACUCACAGUUUCUAUUGAAGUUCAUCUGAACUUCAAAUUUAUGACCCUAAAAACGCAUCGACCUUAGCAUUUGUUAUCCAUGACAAAAAUUUCAAGCGAAUGGGAGGUUUUACUCCUGCUAGAGCAAGUAUCGAACUAGGCAAAGUCCAUAUCCCAUCCCCACAAAUCAAACCAGAAGCCACUGCUGGCCCAAAAGCAUCUGCCUUUGCCUUGUCAAUCUUUUCCCAGAUAAAUAGAAUCAAGCUUCCCACACACAUGUCGAUGGCAAAGUAUGAGCCAAUCUAGAAAGUUAUAGCCAUUGCCAUUGGAUUGGGAAUGAAACUAGCCCGUUUCUUACCCAAGGCAUCCUUGAUCAAAUUUAUCAGAAUAGCUGCACCGAAGAACCAAUAACAAAGAUAGAGACAAUUCUUUGGUAGAGAUGAGAAUCCUUCUACCCCCAAUAUAGCCAUGUUUCGAAAUACAGUAGCACAAGGAGCAGGGUAUUGACUUCCAGGAGUCCCCAGAUCCUUGAAGGCCUUAAAAAAAAGCCAAAAUACACACCGGGAAAUCAUGCAACCCAUUGCAGUGCCAAUUAGUUGGCUCACAAACAUGGACCGAGGUCAAGAAAGGGUCAAAUAACCAGUCUUGAAAUUGAAUGCUGAUAUAGGUUGUAAAGUCUACCUUUCGAAGAGGCACCGCCGAAAAGAGUCCAAGAAAGCUAAAAACAAACAAAAAGCCAAUCAUCCAAGACAGAGAUGGAUUUUUAAAGGCAUCACUAUCUUCAGUUAAUUGUUUGGCCACGGUUUCACUCAUUCCAAACAGAUAACUCCCAAAGCCUCCUAUUAUAAGGAAACAAGGAAAAAAUUAUAGAAUGGAAACCAUUAGUACAAAAAUCAACAAGUUUAAUACCACCAUAACCAUAAUCACAAAUUAGCCGUUUCAUUACAAUAAUUAAUUCAGUUUCGAAACAAGUUUGGCAAGUAAUCAGACUUUUCUUGACUAUUUGGAUAAGUUAGAAAUAUAAUGUAUUCAUCUUGACAUUAUGUUAAUGAUUCACAGUUAGAGAAGAGGUUUGAUUAAUAACGCAAGCUCACAACUAGCAUUCUAGAAACAGAUAUUAUUCACAUUUUCCUUUCUUUGUCUUCAAGGAUCAUGCAAAUCUACUCACAUCUGAGAUAAAAGGGAUCCAGAGAGAGAAAAAUGGUUGCCUUAUCAUGUAAUCUAGCAAUUAGAAGAUGGAAAUCUUGACAUUGAAUUUUAGUAACUACUGUAAGUUUGCAACCUUUAAGAACAGAAACAAAACCAAAUGCACAGAAAUAUUAAUAUCUUGAUCAAAGAAACCUAGAUAUCUCCUCAACUUCGAAAGAAAAGAGAAAAAAAAAUUGAAUUUCAAAAUAAUUAAGAGAGAUGAAAUGAAAAUUAAUGGCAGUAAACAGUACGGAAAGUAUACCACUAAAGGCAAUGCCAGAGGAGGCAACCACGCAAGUCUGUAUUACAGUGUUCUCUUGCCUCGUAAAGGGUUGCUUCAAAAGUCCAGACUUUUCAAGAAACUUUGUCAAGGUCUUGAUAAAAAAGAAGCCCAGAAGGCCAGCAGAGACAUUGAGGGAAGGUAUGAUACCGGUUGUAAGAUUGAGCUUCAUUACUAUGACGCAGAACAAAAUGCUCAACACGAAGCUCACCACAAGGGCCCUCAGUGUCAGCUGAUUCCUCCAUGAUGGCACUUCUUGGUUCUCAAAUAUUCUUUCCACUGACAACUCUUCUUCUUGUUCCUCUUUCUUGUCCUUCUUUCUGUGAUCAUAAUCAUCCUCCAAAUGAUAACCAUUCUCUACCUUGGUGUCGUCCCUUUCAUUACGUUCCAUUUUAUUUUCUUAAAAGAAUGAUUCUUUAUGGAGACACAGAGAGUUGGGAGCGUGUUUAACAAGUGGUUGUGAUUAUUGCUCAACACAUCACAAGCGAAAUGAAGACGAUGAAUACGAGGAGUUAAAAGUUAAAAGUUAAAACGGGUUGUUGUAGUGAGUUUAACCUGUCUGUUUUUUUGGGUUUUCUUUUAAUUUUAAAUUAAUUUUAUUUAAUAUUUUUGAAUUAUUUUAAUAUAUUAAUAUUAAAAAUAAAUUUUAAAAUAUAAAAAAUAUAUUAUUUUGAUAUUUUUUGAGUAAAAAUUAUUUUAAAAAACAACUAUUAUUAUAUUUUAAACACUCUUUAAAAUAAUAAAGUGACAUAUAUGUGUUUGAGUUAAGUUUGUAAUUUUUAUAUAUGUGAUUUGUAGGUACUUUUAAAGAGUUAGACUAGAAAUAUAGCAGAAAUUAUUUUUAAAAUAAUCUAAAAAUAUUUUUUUAAUAUUUUUUUAAAUUAAAAUUAAAAAUUAUUUUCAAAACAAUUUGAAAAUAAAAAAUUAAUUUUAAAUAAAAAAAUUAAUUUUAAAAAGGAAUGUUUUAAACAAGUUACCAAAUGGCCACUGAAUCCAAAGCCAAAAGCUUCUAUUUCUAAUUUGUGGAAGACGAGAAGUCAAUAGUCAAUUUCCAAAAAAUUAAAAAAAAAUAAAGGGAAAAUAAAAGAUCUGUGAAUGUCCAUUGUCCAAAGUUUGUGGAAAAAAAAUGAUAUUAGAAAUAAAGAAAAUGAUAUUAAAUUACUUAAAGAAGCUAGACUAGAAAAGGAAUGUCCAUUGUCCAUUGUCCACAUGUGUUUGAGUUAAUUAAUUUUAAAUAAAAUAAAAUAAACUUUUAUAAAGGAAUGUUUUAAGCAAGUUACCAAAUUGCCACUGAAUCCAAUGCCAAAAGCUUCUAUUUCUAAUGUAGAAGACGAGAAGUCAAUAGUCAAUUUCCAAAAAAUUAAAAAAAAUAAAGGGAAAAAAAAAAUCUAUGUAGGUCCAUUGUCCAAAGCUUGUGGGAAAAAAUGAUAUAAGAAAUUGACAUAGCCUGCACGUGCGUGGAAGAUUUAAAGAUUUAAAGAUUUAAAAAAUGAUAUAAAAAUGAUAUAUACGUUGGUUUACUGAAUUCAUAACCACAGCAAGAUGAAGAGUUGAGGGAUUCUAUGAUAAUUAACUUUGAAUAUAUUUGCAUGGGGAAGAACGUCUGAUCCAAAUGAUAACCUCUUUAUGUAGUUCGCUCACUCUGGGCUUAGAUGCCAUUAAGACUACGGAAAUGCUUGUCUAUUUUCAGCUUCUUUUCAUAUUCUUAGGACAAGCCUUCAACAUAUUUGUUACAAGUCUCAUAUUCGCUGAAGCUUUUAUCGUCUUCCUCGACACAUCUGAUAUUUUUCCAUCUUUUUUUUUCUCGUGUUGGAUAACUAAGUCUGGCAUGGUUUUAUUGUGAGACUGAUAAUAACACAGAUGCCACAUUGGACCACCUGAUAUGAUCAUAGUUAGCAAAAUGAGCAGACCUGAUACCAAAUAUAGCAACUGAUCAUAACAGCUCACAAAGGGUACUGUAAUUUUCACUUUUCACAUUGCUUGCUGCAUCUGUUCUACUAUCUUCUUCAAACUAGACAAGAAAAAAAACUACAAGCAUAUAUAUAUAUAUAUAUAGAUAUAUAUAUAAGUAAAUGGACAUUUGAUUUUCUUCUCUAGAAAUGAUUACAGAGAAAAUAGGUGUUGCCUUGUUGGCUCCACGGAAUAGCAGGUGAUUAUCCACGGCAUUUUUGAGUCGAACUUCACAUGUAAACUUCAUAACCUUAGUGUAGGAAGCAAUUCAGCUUUACCUCACAGUUUCUAUUCAAGUUGAUCUGAACUUCAACUUUAUGACCCUAAGAAAGCAUCGACCUUAGCAUUUGUUCCCCUUGACAAAAACUUCAUGCAAAUGGGAGGUUUCACUCCUACAAGAGCAAGUAUCGCACUAGGCAAAGUCCAUAUCCCAUCCCCGCAAAUCAAACCAGAAGCCACUGCUGGCCCAAAAGCAUCUGCCUUUGCCUUGUCAAUCUUUUCCCAGAUAAAUAGAAUCAAGCUUCCCACACACAUGUCGAUGGCAAAGUAUGCGCCAAUAUAGAAAGGUAUAGCCAUCGCCAUUGGAUUGGGAAUGAACCUAGCCCAUUUCUUACCCCCAGCAUCCUUAAUUAAAUUUUUCAGAAUAGCUGCACCGAAGAACCCAUAACAAAGAUAGAGGCAAUUCUUUGGUAGAGACGAGAAUCCGUCUACCCCCAAUAUAGCCAUGUUUCGAUAUACAGUAGCAUAAGGAGCAGGGUAUUGACUUCCAGGAGUCCCAAGAUCCUUGAAGGCCUUGAAAAACGGCCAAAAGACACAAGGUGAAAUCAUGCAACCCAUUGCAGUGCCAAUUAGUUGGCUCACAAACAUGGACCGUGGUGAAGAAAGGGUUAGAUAACCAGUCUUGAAAUCUUGAGAGAGGUCGGAGGCUGUGGAGACGAUAUUCAUCAUGACUCCACAGGCCGCUAGUCCUGCAAGAACUCCACCAUGAGAGCCACCAGCCCAUGCUCCAAUUACAAAAAUUGCAAGCUUGCCAUAGGUGGAAGCAAGAGACCAGUCAGUGUGGCCACAGCCAUAAGCAUUACAGAAUGCAAGGGCUGGCCCAAAGAUCGAUGUAGAUAACCAAUAUAUAAUACCAUUUGAGUUCGGGAAAUAUAUACGGUAGCGUGGCCGUGGAGAUAGCAGCUAUUGCGACAUAGCCUGCAACAGCAAACCAUGUUGGAAUUUGAUCUUUGAGAAAGAGGUGGGUGCGACGUUGCUCAUCAUAGGAGAUCCUGGAUGUCUCGGGAGAGGAACGGUCAGCAACAGGCAGAGCACCAGUUGCAUCUCUCCCACGAAGUUGAAAAAACAAUGCAGCGAGUGUUCGGCUUAGAACCUUGAAGAAGUUGUACAGACCGUCACCCAAGAUCAAGGCAGUGGCAAUAAAUACCUGUGUUCAUUGCAUAAGCGUUGGUAUGAAAGAAAAGGCUUCAAGAAAAUGUUAAAAAUCAUGUAAGGGGCAUUCUUGUCACCUUAACCUUGUUAGAAAACUUACCUUGUAACCUUGGAGGCCAUUUAGGCUGUCUGGUUUGAGGUCUGCUGGAUACCAGUCACCCUUUUUUGUGUCUAUGAGAGGCCACAUGAGACCCCAGGAAAGAAGUCCUCCAAGCAAUACUGAUAUGUUUAUGAUGUAUGGGCAAAUCAUUCCAACUCCAACAUAUGUUGCUGAGAAAUCAAAGAAAAAGCAGUACAUGUAACAAGAACAUUAUUAGUCAAAGAUACCACAACGAAUUUGAAACAGAAUGCCAUAACCAAUGGAACUACAUUCAACAUGAAGAGAGGAUUUUGGAAGGUUGAAUAAUGCUUUUACUUGUUUUCAUAUGCUUUAAGCCCGAGUGAGGGGAACUCAGCAAAUCCACAACCAUCUCCUGCAGUGUAGAACCACUGAAAGAAACCUCAUAACAAGCUGAAUGAUAAGAACUUGCCCAACGCUUUCACUUGUUUUCUGAAACGGUAGAAAGAAAAAAGUUUGAUACUUUUACAUGCCGAAUGAUCAUCCAACUAUAUGUGCAUGAGGUCUGAUAAUGCCUUACUUUGCUAGCUUGGCUCCUGCAGGAGUGUGGAAGCUGUUGAUGAGAUGAGCAGUAGCAGUGCCACUUGGAUAUGUCAAUUUGAAGUCUAUAAUCAUGAUCUGGAAAUAAUAACCAGGGUAACAAUGAAGAUUAGAUUUUGGCAAAUUCAAUACAUUCAAAAAGAAAUCAAAAUGCAGAGAGAAGUUUUCUAUUUCCUAUACGAAAUUGAAUGGCGAUAUAGCGUUGUGAAGUCUCUACCUUUCGAAGAGGCACCACUGAAAAGAGUCCAAGAAAGCUAACAACAAAGAGAAAGCCAAUCAUCCAUGACAGAGAUGGGUUCUUAAAGGCAACACUAUCUUCCGUUGAUUGUUUGGCCACAGUUUCGCUCAUUCCUAACAAAUAACUCCCAAAGCCUCCUAUUAUAAGGAAACAAGAAACAAAUUAUAGGAUGGAAACCGUUAGUACAAAAAAAAUCAACAUGCUUAAUUUCAUCUUUAGCAUAAUCACAAAUUACUUCUUUCAUUACAACAAUUUCAGUUUCGAAAGCUCUUGGAUGAUAAGUUGGAAAUGUAGUGUAUUCAUCUUGACAUCAUGCUAAUGAUUCUCAGUAAAUGAGCAAGCUUGGUAUACUAAAUUUUAUUAAAAAAUAAUAUAAAUUAUAUCCCUUUCCGUUCGUAUCUUCUGAUACAAGCAUAAGUCACCUUGAUGAAAUCUAGAUUAACAGUACAAACAAAUUAAUUAUUCAUAUUUUCUUUUCUGUUACCAACGGGGAGGACUUCUUUUUCCACUAAUCAGAAUAUUCUUACAAGACUUGUAUAACUUUGAAGUAAGCAAAUCAUUCAUAUCCAGCUCAUAUAUAUGAAUUGAAUGGUCAAAAAAGUAUCUGUCUAGAGACAUCUGCCAGCGACACUUUAUGCCUCGUGGAGGACCAUAAGAAAAAUAAAAAGCAGCCCCACCACCAUUAUCACACUUCAUGAGACAGGGAAAGGCUAGUAAAGAAAAUUUACAGACCAGUUGAUUUAACUUUUUUACUAAAGUAUAUUUGUUCAUGUCUCAAACAGCAAGUUGAAGUGUUGAUUACUUUAGUAAAACUUCACAAGUGGCUGAAGCAAUACCAGAACUGGUAGUCAUAAUUAAAACCUCAAUUUUGAUUUGUCUCCCAAAGACUUUAGGCAGUAAUGACUUAAUUCUUGUCUUCAAGGAUCAUGUAAAUCUACUCACAGUACGUAUCUGAGAUAAAAGGGAUCGAGAGAGAAACUUACAGUAGUUACUAAAACUCAGUUUCAAGAUUUGCUUCUUCUAAUUGCUAUAUUACAUGACAAGGAACAGAAACAAAACCAAAUGCACAUAAAUUUUAAUAUCUUGAUCAAACCAUGGUUAUUUAAUUUAUCAACUGGUCUGACAAAUACUUUUUUUUUUCGUACUGGUCUGUAAAUUUUCUUUACUACUCCAUGGUUUGACAAAUACUUUUUUUUUUCGUUAUGGGGUCCAUGGUUUAUCCUUGUAUUAGCCAAGAAGGAAGGCAUGGCUAUUUAAUUUAUCCAUGGUAAUUAUUUAUGUGUCCUCCUUCGCCGGUUUAGGUUACUUGUUAGCUAUUGCCAUGUUUUCUUUUCCCAUGCUUUUUGGCAUUUGUACCCAUUAAUUAUUCACCUUGCUUUGAUUUGCCAAUGUUAUGCUAUUAAUAAAGUUUCUUCACUAAUUGUGUAUUAAUAUAUACUUUUAUUCUUUUGAGAAGUCGACAUAUAUACUUCAAUGCAUGGUUGGUUAUUAAUAUCGUCAUACAUAUAUUAGGAAUUGAAUCUUUAAGCAUUUAGUACAAACCCAGAGGCAAACCUUACUGUGAUAGCAAGAAUGGAUCCAACUCCAUAUCUUUGAUUUGCCAAUGAUAUCAUAGCCAGCAAAAAGAGCAAACCUGAUACCAAAUAUAGAAAUGUUAGCCGGGAUUUCACCACUGAACGAGUUGUUGCCAAGGAUCAGUGUCUGUAGCCGAAUUCCAAACGACCUACUUCUUGGGGGAUAGUAUUGGUGAAACUGUUGUUUUCCAAGCUUAGUAGCCUAAGAAAACUCAAGUUCCCAAUGGAGGGAGAUAGGCUGCCCACCAGUUGGCUGGAGUGUAGGUCAAGCUGUAUGACUCUUUCAUCGCGUCCUCCACAUGUUACUCCUGACCACUGGCAGAAGUGUAAGGAUUCAUUCCACGAGCUUAGUUUUUUAAGGGGAUCUGAGAUUUGAGCCUUGAAAGCUAGUAGCGAGAGCUUGUCUAUCUCGCUUCCUCCUCUAGCUAAUGAGAAGGAGAAAGAGUGUUGAAUUAUUUGAAAGGAAAGAAACCACAAUAUGAAUGAACUCAUGCUUGGAAGCUUCAGUUUCAAUGGGGUCUUACAGAUUUAAAUUGAGAUCAAAUGGCUUGCUGUCACAGUGUCAAAUGUGCACGAGGUGCACGCUUCGGCAGGCUGGCCAAAACAAGGCCUAAGGGUGCUGGCAGCCAUGCCAUCAGUGGGAGAAAUCGUCAGCGCAGAUUUAUGCGGUUGAAGGUUCGUCAAAGGGAAAAUCGGCAGCGCAGAUUGUUGACGAACAUGGGCUGGACGAGGGACUGUCCAAGCCAAGCAGGAAAACUCGUCAGGGGGAUAGGCUGACGAGAAUUGGGGCUAUCGCAGAAUUCGGCAGCAUAGACAGGGGCAGCCUGCACGCAGAUGCGAAUUCAGCAGCGCAGAGAUUGGCAGCACGCAUAUGCGAAUUCGGCAGCGCAUUGGCAGCCUGCCCGCAGAUGCGGAUUCGGCAGCGCGCAACAACUUGUGCAAGUCAGGGGCUCGACUUGGCACGAUCUAAAACUUGGGCAAAGGAUUGUCCAAGGCAUGGGCUAAGAGCUCUAGGCGCUGGGACGCGCCAACGAAGGCACACUGCCUAGAAUUCGGCAGCGAUGGAUCACGGCAGCCUUGCAUAGGCAGAGAUGAAUUCGGCAGGCAGCAUGCAACGGUCUAUGCGAGUCUUUGAGCUUGCGACUUGGCAUGGACGUGGGGGCUUAGAUGAUGGACCUUCUAAGUCAGCAGCUGACACAGCAGAAGGUGGCAGCUGGGGCUGCCAAGUAGACAGCCAGGAAAUGGGGGAAGUGGCAGCUUCAUGGGAGGCAGAACGUGGGAGCAUAACUGGGGUGCUGUCCGGGCCACUAUGUCCUGAAAACAUGGGAUCAUGGGUGAGAGGUAGUGCUCCACCAUGUCCUGAAAACAUGGGAUCAUGGGAGAGAGGUAGUGCUCCACUAGGUCCCGAAAAUGGGGGAUAAUGGGGAGGAGCCUUUGCAGCUCCUUUGCUUGUCUAUAAAUACAAGAUGUAGCUCUUGGUUGUGGGAGGAGCAUUCGGGUGGGAAUGUUCAGAUUGUAAGGGCAUUCGGUUGGGAAUGUCCAGCAUGUAGGGGCAUGCAAGAACAUGUGUAGAACACUAGUUAGAUGUAGCUUGGUGUAGCAUGUAAUCUUUGUGCAUAGCACACAUACGGAUUUGUGUAUAGUUUCCUUUGUGUAUGAGAUUAAUAAAGGUUGGGAAAGAGUUCCUGUAAAGCUUGUUGUGCACUAUGAUUCUUAUCCUUGCUUGUGUAUUCCGCUUGCUUAGUAAUUAGGCAAACACGAGUGAGAUUGGUGAGGGAAGGCUGAGUCUAGUGAGGGACUAGGCUGCCGCACGGGUUUAUUCGCGUAGCGAAAAAUACCCCCGUGACAAUUGGUAUCAGAGCGCGGUUGCUUUCGUGGCAGGAUGACGAGAAUAAUUCUGUGGCCAAAUCAACGGACUGAUUUGGGAGAGCUACUGCUUCUGCCGAUGGAGAAGCAGAUUUCAGCGCAAUGAUCAGCGACGAGAAUGCUGAUGUUUCUCGGGACAAAUCGAAGGGACUGAUUUGGGAGAAACAUUGCUGCUGCUGAUGGACUGGCAGAAACUUUGGAGCAAGAGCGCAAUAUGCGUUCAUGACGAAACGAUGGGCUGUUUCGUAGCACAGACGAUGGGCUGUUCUGUGGGGGCAACUCGAAGGGCGGAUUUGUUCCAAGCCAUUUGAGGAAAAACUUGCUAGCGUUUUGGGCAGUGUUGGUGUUCAAAAGGCCUGCGGAGUUUUGGGGGUUUAACUACUCCAUGGGUGACGCAAAGUGAUGAUAAAGGGAUCAGCUCAAAAUGGGUGCUGAUUCGGCCAUGGAAACUGUCAGGUGGACUGGCAGACUUGAGAGCAGGGGCCAGCGGAGGGGCUUCUGGGCGCUUCUGUAUUUUCAUCAAAGCCUUAAGAGAAGGAUGGGGCGAGACAGAAGAAGAAGCAAGUCAAUGUGGAGAGCCUAAACUUGUUGCUGCUGAUGAUGGAUAGUCAGACGAGAAGGCAAAUCGGUAAGGGUUCGAAACUGAAAUUUGCAUUGUUGUUCUCUUGUGAUGGAAAUUACUUUGUGCGAGAUUGUUGCCCAAGGAGAGGAAACCUUGAUGUUGCCAGUGUGGAAGAUGGUGUUUGAGAUUAGGCAUAUGUAAACCUUAUACGUUUGCUAGAUGACCGAGAUGGAAUUCAGUCAUCAUGAGCCAGCAUAUCGGGGUGGAUGCAGUCUGGCCUUGCUUGCUGCCUUGGUGGCAGAACUUAGGGAUUGUUGUGCAUCUCAAGAAAGGAAUGUUCAGGGAGGUGGAAGAAAAAUCCAGAGAAGACCAAGUUGAGGGCAGACAAAUCUACAAGGAUUUGUUGUGGCUUUGCUGCCUUUGUGGAGGCAGAGUUGAUGUCUUCGGUGGAGACCUUGAUGAUGGACAGUUCAGGGUGAAGAAGACAGAACAGUGGCUGAGAUAGACUUUAGUCACGUUGAGACCAGGAUUGGAGGCGUUACAGAGGAGGCAGUACCGUGGGGGUGUGUCUCAAGGAGUCUGCACGUUGUCGAGGGACAGACUGGGUGACGGAUUCGGCAGCCGCUCCAGUGAGCUUGGCGUGGAAGCCAAAAUCGUCGACGAAGAUGAUUUUGUGUGCUGUCUUGGAAUCAGUACGAGCGGAUAUUCUGUGCAUUGCGAUGGUUGCAGUGAUGGAAGCAGAAUGCUAAUGACCUUUGUUGGGACAAAGUGUUGUGAGUUUUCGGCAGACAAAACAUGCAGCGAAGGUUGAAAACAGUAGGGGCUGCUUUGCGUCAGCGAAAACUUGUGUAACUGACGAAGUUUCUAGGGCAUGACAGUAGCGCAUGGGGGAACCAGGUCAGACGAAACUUGAUGCUGGGAUGCUAUGUUUUGUGCUAUGGCAGGUUAGAGAUGGACUUAGAGGGACUUGCCGAAAGACUUCGACAUGAGAUGAAGUUGAUCAUCGAAACUGAGUGGGUGCUAGGUUCAACAGCACUGUCUCAUUCUUAUUUCUUGCAGGUGGAGAACCUAAAAGGGCUGAUGGCAAUGGGAAGUCAGAAGCCAAGGGCAAGGAAAAGGUUUCGGAAUCAUGUUUGGGCUGUUUGAUUUGUGAGGGGAAGCACUUCACAAGGGACUGCCCAUUGAAGAGCACAGCUGAGUGCUACUUCCGUGGAGAAGGAUGGAGAGGGAACGACAUACGUAAAUCCUAUACGUGUGCUCAACACUAAGUAAAGAGUUAGUGUGAAGGGGCCAGCGUAGUUGAUGAAGACUUAGGCGUGGCCAAACUGCCUUGUGCGAGGCAGAUUCGGGGGAGUUUCAUAACUUUGACGAUGGACAGAUCAUGGUUUAACUCUAGGCGUGAGAAUGCGCCAACGAAAAACACACUGCAUAGGAUUCGGCAGCGAUGAACAGCAGCAGCCUUGCAUGGGCAGAGGUGAAUUCGGCAGGAUGUGUUGGUUGUGGAGAAGCGAGAUAAGUAAGCAAUAUUGGUAAUACUUGCAGUUUUGGGGCACGCAGAACGGUUGGAGAACUAGAUGUUUGUAUGGGAGCUCAUGUGGUUCUUCGAAGUGAUUUUGUGUGGAUGUAUUUUGUAAAGGAAGGGACGGAUUCCUUGGGUGUUAGGCGUGGCAUCUAAACUUUGCGAAAACAUGCUUGCAAGUAUGAUGUGUUUGACAUUUGUGGAAAACUAACGAGCCAAAACAGAAUGUGUCACAACUUGGUUUUUUGAAACAGGUUGACAAAGAUUCGGUGGACUGAAUUUGUUGUUGAAUGUGGGAAAAGCUAAGAGGUUUCGUGCGGAGAAACAUGGAUUGUGACGAGGAACAGAUGCAGUGCAAGGGUACUUCAAAUCUGUCCGACGAGGGCGUCGGGUUCUUUUGGUGGGGGUGGUUUGUCACAGUGUCAAAUGUGCACGAGGUGCACGCUUCGGCAGGCUGGCCAAAACAAGGCCUAAGGGUGCUGGCAGCCAUGCCAUCAGUGGGAGAAAUCGUCAGCGCAGAUUUAUGCGGUUGAAGGUUCGUCAAAGGGAAAAUCGGCAGCGCAGAUUGUUGACGAACAUGGGCUGGACGAGGGACUGUCCAAGCCAAGCAGGAAAACUCGUCAGGGGGAUAGGCUGACGAGAAUUAGGGCUAUCGCAGAAUUCGACAGCGUAGACAGGGGCAGCCUGCACGCAGAUGCGAAUUCGGCAGCGCAGAUAUUGGCAGCACGCAUAUGCGAAUUCGGCAACGCAUUGGCAGCCUGCCCGCAGAUGCGGAUUCGGCAGCGCGCAACAACUUGUGCAAGUCAGGGGCUCGACUUGGCACGAUCUAAAACUUGGGCGAAGGAUUGUCCAAGGCAUGGGCUAAGAGCUCUAGGCGCUGGGACGCGCCAACGAAGGCACACUGCCUAGAAUUCGGCAGCGAUGGAUCGCGGCAGCCUUGCAUAGGCAGAGAUGAAUUCGGCAAGCAGCAUGCAACGGUCUAUGCGAGUCUUUGAGCUUGCGACUUGGCAUGGACGUGGGGGCUUAGAUGAUGGACCUUCUAAGUCAGCAGCUGACACAGCAGAAGGUGGCAGCUGGGGCUGCCAAGUAGACAGCCAGGAAAUGGGGGAAGUGGCAGCUUCAUGGGAGGCAGAACGUGGGAGCAUAACUGGGGUGCUGUCCGGGCCACUAUGUCCUGAAAACAUGGGAUCAUGGGUGAGAGGUAGUGCUCCACCAUGUCCUGAAAACAUGGGAUCAUGGGAGAGAGGUAGUGCUCCACUAGGUCCCGAAAAUGGGGGAUAAUGGGGAGGAGCCUUUGCAGCUCCUUUGCUUGUCUAUAAAUACAAGAUGUAGCUCUUGGUUGUGGGAGGAGCAUUCGGGUGGGAAUGUUCAGAUUGUAAGGGCAUUCGGUUGGGAAUGUCCAGCAUGUAGGGGCAUGCAAGAACAUGUGUAGAACACUAGUUAGAUGUAGCUUGGUGUAGCAUGUAAUCUUUGUGCAUAGCACACAUACGGAUUUGUGUAUAGUUUCCUUUGUGUAUGAGAUUAAUAAAGGUUGGGAAAGAGUUCCUGUAAAGCUUGUUGUGCACUAUGAUUCUUAUCCUUGCUUGUGUAUUCCGCUUGCUUAGUAAUUAGGCAAACACGAGUGAGAUUGGUGAGGGAAGGCUGAGUCUAGUGAGGGACUAGGCUGCCGCACGGGUUUAUUCGCGUAGCGAAAAAUACCCCCGUGACACUUGUUGUGAUGCUCUAUGGAUCAAACAUUAAAUAGGAAAGUAAGGAAUAUUCCUUACAUCCUUAAGAUGCUUUCAGACUCAGCGAGAACCUUUUUCAGAUUCAUCAACCAACAUUUGAUCCCCACAUUGGUUUUAAGUCAACUAAGGUUUAAUUGGUUCAAGAAAAUUAAUGUUCAAGAGUUUCCAUUUUCACAACCCCUUGAAGACGUUUUCGAACGUCAGACAUGAUAUCGAAAUGGAUUGUCACCCGUCAAUCUCGCGGAGAAGUUAGUGACUUUUUGUUUGUUUAUUUUGAAGAAGCUUCACCUAGUAUUUAAUUUAAUUUAAUUAAAAAUUACUAAUAAAUCCAAAAAUUUACUAAGAAAUCCAAAUGUAUUUAUCGAUGUCAAAGAUUUUUAGAAUAAAAAAUUGAUUGUGACUAAAAAAAAUUCCUAACAUACCCUAUCUAAAAAAAAUUACUUUACAUUUUAAUAUAAUUUAAAAAUUUAAAAUAUUAACCAAAUUCUUAAGGUUUUAAUAAAUUAAUUUUUCUUACAUUUUCAUAGAAAAAAUAAAAUAAUUUUAUUUAUUCUUUAAAUAUUUAACCAUAUUCAAAUUAAACACUUAAUCCUUUUUUAUCUUUUUAGUUUUUAUAAUUAAAUAACAUAAAUAAAAAUACAAACACACAGUCACCUCUUUUCUUAUUAUUAUUUUUCUUAUACAUCCCUUUUUACAUGUAAAACAAAUAACAAAAAUUCAAACUAAAUCAAAUACAAUUCAAAAAUUACAAAACAAAAACCCAAAAAUCUACAGUAAUUGCAGGGAAGGCCCGGAACAGUGCUGGAAGGUUUCUGGGCGCGGGAACAGUGGCGGCGCGUGGGUUCACGCGGCGCCGCAGGAAAGUCCAACAAGCAGGGGGCUCUGGAACGGUUUCCUCCUCUCUUCUCUUCCCUGCCCGUGGUGGCUUUCACCGUGACCUGCAACGAAAGAAAACGCACAAGCAGUCGGUUUUAUUUUGUUUUCUAGAUCUGUCCAGUUCCUCCGCCUUCUCCCUUCUCUGUUGGUUUUCCUUCUGCCGAUGGCCGAUCUGGUGGCUGGGAGUGCUUCUUCUUCUUCUCCUCCGCUUCAGGUGGCUGGCGGUGAAGAGGAACGACCGAGAAGGGGGCGUCGCUGCUGGACCUGUUCGGCCGCCGCUGGGGGCUGUGGAGGAGAUAUGAAUGAACGCAGCGUGUUGAUGGCUAGGAGAGGGACGAUGUGGCUGAGGGGAGAAGGGAGGAUCUUUUGCCGGGAAGGGGAAGAUCCGCAAGGUCUGGCCGGGGCAGGAGCCAGAACGGGAGUGGUGGCUCUGGUGAGGUCAAGAGGGAAGAUGACGGGGAGAUGGGGGAAAUGGUUAGAGACCAGCUGCUUUGGUCAAGGGAGGGGCCAUGCUUUGGAGUUCUGGUUCUGUUUUUAUGGGUAUGGAGAGGGAAAUCAAAUGAGGCCCGGGGCUUGUGUGGUGAGCUGGGGAAGAAAUGGUUGUGGGAGCAAAAAUCCCGAAGCUCUCGUUCGGGUCAGGGAGUUCUGGUUCUCUCUUUUGCCAGGAGGCGGCGGUUGUAGCUUGGAGAGAGAGGGUUUGUGGUCGGCUGAAUUUUUCUUCCGCCAAGAAAAUGGAGGGGGUGGCCUUUCUUUUUUGGCAGAGAUGGCUCUCUGGUUCUCUUUGGCCAAGUUUCAGGGAGGCAGCUCAGAUGGCCAUAGGGGGGCGGCGGCUUGUGCUCUCUGUCAAAAGGAGAGGUUUUUUUUACUCUUUUUUUUUUUUUUUCUUCGUCAAAAUGAAGUUUACUGUAGAAUAGUAUAUAUAGUUUCAAACUAUUCCCUCAAUUUGUUUUUUCUUUAUUUUUGUAAAUUUUGAUUUUCCUUUUUUUUUUAAUUUUUAGUAUUAAAAUUUUUUUAUCAAAAAUAUAGUCAAUGCAUAACAACAACAAGGGUACAAUUUUCGAAGUCGAUAAGAAGGUUCCUUCUUGUUGUUUUGUUUUUCCCCUCUUAAAGACUAUUCUUUCUUCAUCGUGGAAAUUAAAGUCCAACACAUGACAAUGUUUCACGUGCGACACUAACAAUCCGAUCAUUUUACUUGCUUGUUAUUUUAAUUCCUUGGAAUCAGCAAAUGGACGAAAAAAGUCAGAGUGUUGCGUGCUCACAAGUAAUAACCAUUCAUUUUCAAAGUCAAGACACGCGUGUUCAAAUCAUCAUUCAUUUUCCAAGUCAAGACUGUAUGAGAAAGGAUUUAUAAAUUCCACAACGAAUAAAUAAAACCUCUCUCCCAGUAAUUGCUUUUUUUUUUUUUUUGUUAUUUCAAAAGUAUAUUCAAUCAUUGCCAAGCAUAGCGGGCCACAUCAUCUGACACCGCUCCCUGUAAAGUCAAAUCCAAGCAUCCGUAAAUGUUGAAUACUUUUCCAAUUCCAAUUCAACAUAUCGUGUCUCAUAUAUAUAUAUAUAUAUAUAUAUAUAUAUAUAUAUAUAUAUAUCAGCUCGCUAACCCUCUCCAUCUUUACAAUCACCCAUCUCGCACACUAGCUCUCUCUCUACACAUACCAAGACAUACAUUUGAUUCCCAAAAAAUCUCAGGUUUCCUUCGUGUCAGAAAUGGGGUCUAAAGGAGAGGCUCGAUACUUGACAAUAAUAGUACUCCUUGUUACCAUUAUUUUGUUAUCAUGUUCUAACCUACCUGUGAUAGAGGGGCAACGAUCUCGAUGCACAUAUGACCCCAAAGAUGGUAAGUGCAAAUUCGGUGAACCAGCUGCAGCUCAAAGGUUUGAUGGGGGGGGGAGUUAGGAGAGGUGGUUUGACCUAAUCGUAUGAUGAAUGAGUAAUCGUUUAUCCUUGUAUUAGCCAAGAAGGCAUGCAUGGCUACUUAAUUUAUCCAUGGUCAUUAUUUAUGUGUCCUCCUUCGCUAGCUGGUUUAGGUUACUAAUUAUACUAGCUAUUGCCAUGUUUUCUUUUCCCAUGCUUUUUGGCAUUUGUACCCAUUAAUUCUUUCACCUUGCUUUGAUUUGCCAAUGUUAUGCUAUUAAUAAAGUUUCUUCACUUAUCUAAAAGAAAAAAAACCUAGCUAAUUGUGUAUUUAUACUUUUUUUUUUUUUUGAGAAGUCGACAUAUAUACUUCAAUGCAUGGUUGGUUAUUAAUAUCGUCAUACAUGUAUUAGGAAUUGAAUCUUUAAGCAUUUAGUACAAACCCAGAGGCCAGCACAUUAAUUUGUUGUGUAUUUUGGUUUUGGGCAUCCCAAAAUGCUUUUUUCCUCAUACCUUUCAAAGAAAUGGCUACGCAUCCCCUCUUGCGAGAGAGGUCCACGAGAUAGAUUGAACUAUUUUAUCAUUGGAAUUAAAAAAAAAUAUGGAUUUUACAUUUUGGGUCAAAUCAAAUUGUGUAUACUAAUAAAAUAUAUAUAUAUAUAUAUAUUAAAAAAUAAUAUAAAUAAUAUUUUAAAAUUUUAUUUAACAACUUAAGUUUAUAUUAACAUCAAUUAAAUAUCUAGAUGACAUAAGGUAUUAAAUUAGUCAUCUAAGAUUAGACGUGCAUAACAAGAAAAUUCAUCUCUAUAUAUGAUAGUGACUCAGGGACAAAUUUGUUCUCACAUUGGAUUUAAAGACGAAACUCAUCUCCCUUUAAGGAAAAUUCAUGGUGACUAAUUUCAUUCCUUAUUUAAGGAAAUAAAAACUAAUUUCAUAUCCAAAUUAAGUCUUUAAUCCUAGUGAUUAGAAUUUCAAAUCUUAUCACUCUUGUUCUUUUUAAUUAGAUUAAAAAUUAUUAGCAAGAUAGUAAUAGCCCUUAUUCUCUCUAAUUAAAUUAAAAAAUAAAUAUAAGAUAUAUAUCCAUAAGAUAUGUAAAUUUGUACUUGAAGAAGUGUGCCAAAAAAUUAUAUCGUAAAUUCUUUCCUGAAAAAUAGCCUACAAGGAAGUUUAAAUACAAAAAAUAUUAUAUAUGCUUAUUAGUAAAAUCCUAAUUAAAUUUUAAAUUCUAAUCUAAAUAGGGAGAACAAUCCAAAAACAAUAAGAAAAAUAAAGACAAUCUUAAGCAAUAACUUUUAGACUAAAUUUAGCAUGUUCAUGAACUUAGAUGAAGUUGUCUUACUAAUCAUUUAAGGAAUAAGGCCUUUAGAAUGUUUUGAAAAAAAAUUUAGUUCAACUCAAUGGUCGGAUGAUAAGUUAUACUUAUUUUUAUUAUAUUAUCCAUUGGACUCAUUCGAAACUCCUCAAAAUCUAAAAAAAUUUAACAAUGAAAAAAAUAAAGAAAUAAAACAAAUUAUGCUAAGGAUAAUAAAUAUAGUGCCCUACUUUAUUCAUCUCACUUAUAAAAAAAAACUUGCUUUUGAUUUAAGUGUUAGAAACUGAACUCUUCCAUUCUAAAAACAUAGAUACUUUGAAUAUAGCUUUAUAGUGCAUACUCCCUAAGUAUAAUGUCUUUGAUUCGUGAGUUUCAAAUUCUAAUUUAUGAUGUAAGCAAGCUAAAGAAGGAUCCAUAUCAAAUAUUACACCUUUUGUUGUUGUAAAGUUCACUAAUAGUAGUUCACUGGUAGUUCCUUCACACAUUUUUAUACUUUAAACAUGAUCUUUGUUGUAAAAAACCUGCAGCAAUUAUUGAUGAAUAUUGUAAAAGGAUAAAAACUAGAAAGAACACAAGAUUUAAUGUGAUUCGACUAUGUGUCUACAUCCACAUGAGCGAUGAUCUUUUAUUUUUCACCAUAUGUCAAAUAGGAUUACAUAAUAUGUAUCUAUAGUAUACCCUAAACCGCUUAAGGGUCUAACCGCCUAAGAGAUAUUAUAAUUUUUUUAAUAAUACUCAUUUACCAUAUCAUGGAGGCAUUGCCCCACACCCUAAUCUAUCAAUCAUUCUUAAUAACAAAAUAGAAAAUAAAUCAUAACAUGAUUGUCAUAACCCAAUUAUGGGUUAUUCCCCAAAAAUUAAUUUUUUUUUCAAAAUAAAAAUCAAAAAAUAAAAUAAAGACUGGCAACGUGGAGAAAGCAGACUGGGAAAUCAAGCUGUAAUUUUUAAAAGAAAUUCAAGGCUAAUUGUACCCCAUUGUGCCCAAAAAUGGAGGAAAAAUAUGCAAAUUCAAGGUUAAAUUAAAUGAUUAUUGGACGAAUUUGCAUAAAAAUUAAGUUCAAUGACAUAAUUAAAUUUUUAUAGGCCAAUUUGAUUUAAUCAUUGGCCAAAUUGAAUUUCAAUUAUGUUUAAGAAUUAAUUUGGGUCCAAUUAAAGGAUUUAAUUAAGUGCAAGGACUUAAUUAUACUUUAAAUGGGUCAAAUUAAUUUUAUUUGGGGCUUAAUUGAUGAAAAAUUAAGUUUGGAAGCCUAAUUUGGGCUUAAUUGAGAAGAUUGGAAUUUUAAGAGACUAAAAUUAAUUUUUACCAAGUUAAUUGAUUGAAAUUAGGGGUUAAAUUGCAAGAAAAUUGAAGUUUUGGGGUCAAUUAGGGGUUAAAUUACAUAAAUUCGAGACCAUGGACUAUAUUACAAAAGUCGAGGCUCAAAUAGUAAUUCAUCAUGGGCUUAAUUGCAAAAGUUUAGGGUCAAUUAGGGGUUUUAUUGAAAGAAAUUGAAAGAGGAAGGACUGAAAUGAACUUUGGCCAAAAAUAGAUUCUGGUACUAUUCAUCUUUUUCUUUAAUUCUCUGAAAUAGUUGGUCUGGUUACCUACUUUACAGCUGCAUUUAAUGUACCUAACGUCCACCAAAUUUGCCCAAACUUGCACGAAACUAAUCACCAGACAUCUCUCUACAUCUGGGUAUGGUCUUCACCGGCUCACUAGCAAAGAAACGGACGUUAUGCCUACUUUGAGCCAACGGUUGGGUUCCUUCCCAUCUGAAUCAAGGGCUGAAAUUUUUCUCCAGUAUAGAUAAGAUUGCCCUCUUCCACCGCCUAUAAAUAGAGGUGGAUUUGAUGGCCUGAAGAAGGAGAAAAUCGGGUCCAAAAUAAGCUAAAAAAUCAGCCUCUUCCUGGUUUCUGUCACUCUCUCUGUUUUUCUGUCUUUCUUUCUCUCUCCACCGUGUCUUCAGCUGUUGAAGACCCCACAGAAAAUUUUCUCCUCCACCAACAGAUGGCUGCUCAGCCUCUCCACGAGCCCAAAUCCUCACCGGCGAUAGGGGCAGCCACUGCGAGGUUCUCUUUCUCCCCGCUGCAGAUUUUCUUCUUCUGCUUCUUCUUCUUUCUUCCUCCGUCAUUGAACACCGUGUCUUCAGUAGUUUAACACCCCCACAUAAACCUUUCUGCUACACCAACAUACGGUUCUUUAGUGUUAGAGAAGCCACUGCGUCUCUCUCCUCUCCUUCCUCUCCUCCUUCUCCCCUCUGUAAAUUUCUUCAUUUUCUUCCUCUUCCAGCUGCAGCCACUCCAGCCAACUUAGGCAGCCACCUCCACCGCCGUUUCCACCACCGGUUUCAGGUCGUCCUCCCAGCCAGCCAUCACCGCCACGCCAGGUGGUCCGCCUCCCUUGCUUCGCCUUCGUCUCCCCGUUCCACUGUUUUGAACAGUGGAUCGUGAAUUAUAAUUUACGUCCACAGUUCCAGUGGAAUAUAUAUAUAUAUAUAUAAAAUCAAAAAUCUUUUAAAAAAAUUGUGAUUUUCAAAAAUAUUUUUCCAACAAUUUUUCAUAAUAUUGGGUUAUAUGUUUACACUGUAAAAUACAAAUCCAAUAUUAAAAUACUCGGUUUUCUCCAAAAUAUUUCAAAAAAAAUAAAACAUUUCAAAACAUUUGCAAAAAAGAAAAAAAAUAUUUUGUUGCAUACGACCAAAUCCUGAAAUUUUUCCAAGCAUAUUUUUCAUAAAAAAACAAAAAUUGCAUCUUUUUCAUGUUUUAAAAAAAUCCAAAAAUGGAUAUCGUAACCAGUUUAUGAUUAUCCAUUAAGAUUUGGCCAACAUGUCAAAAAUCUUUUUCCCAUCUUUUUUUAGGAUCUAGAUGUAGACUUUAAUAUUUUUGGAGUGUAAAAUUACACGAUAAAGUACACCCUCAGGUAUUAAAGAUACAAGGUAUAUAAAUGCGAUGCUAAAAUUCAGACCUUAGAACGAUUAUGAUUUAACCCGAUAAGGUAGAGACUCUCUCAUGAAGAGAAAUCUGCCUUGAGUCUUAGAAAAGACCAACGAAUAGAAACCCGACUUAGAAAAAACAAUCAAACAACAAUGCAACUUACUUUAGGUAGGUGCACUGGGGGUGAUGUGUCUUCCCCUUACACAACCAGUCCCUUACUCAGACUCUCACAGACCAUAGGUUCCUAGUAACCAUAAUACUUGGUGGCGACUCCUAAACAGUAAUCAUAAUUUUAUGAUUAAAUCCAAAAAUCCUUCCCAACACACAACACCUCACACAGGAGGCACGACAAAGAGCCUCCGCCGUCGCCUGACGACGUCGCCCCGCAACAAUGAUAGAUACCAUCAUUCCACUUAGUCUAGUAUUUGUCUAUACGAACUACAAACUACUUGUUAUUAUUCAUUUUUGGGUCCCCGCACAAAAAAAAAAAACAUUAUCUGAAGAAAACCAAAAAACAGAUAGCAGUGAGAAGAAGACAUAAGAACAGCCAGAAAAUAGCUAAAGAUUGGUUGAGGAAGUUCAAAAAUACAAAGAUUGAAAUUUGACAGUAUAUUUUUUAUCUGUGAAGACUUUAUUUACAAAGAAAAUUCAACUUGAUGAAAAAAAGUUCAAAAUCAGAUGUUUAAGGACUUAAAUAGAUUUUAUUGAAAGAUUAAUUGAGUUUGUAAAGGGUCUGAUUGCAAGAAAAAUUUAUUUUUAAGUCAAUUUUGACUUUAAUUAGAAAAAAAUUAAAGUAUGGGGGUCAAAUUAUAAUUCUUAAGAGUUAAUUUGGUCAAAUCAGGGGCUUAAUUGCAUAAAUAUUGAAGUUUGAUGGGCAACUAAGGACCUGAUUGAAGAAAUCCAAAACCGAGGACCCAACUAGAAAAGGCUCGUAAAUGUAGGGGCUAGAAUUGACCGAAUCAGGGGCUAAAUUGAAGAAAUUGAAAGUUUGUUGAUCAAUCAAGGGUUAAAAUACACAAAUUCAAAACCAAUAACUAAAGUGAAAAGGGCAUCUAACAUCAAGGUUGAUAUUUGAAUUUGACAGGGAUGCAAUUGAAUUUAUUCUUAAAAUCAAAAUUGUAAUUGAGGACUUGAUUGAAUAAAAAAAAAUUAAGGACUGAUUUGAAAAUUGACAUGUUUUGACACUAUUUUAAUUUAAAUGAAAUGAUGCGUUUUGUAAAAAAACGACGUCGUUUUAUUCAUUGUUCAUAUAUAUAUAUAUAUAUAUAUAUAUAUAAAGCCCAAAACGGUGUUGUUUUGAACGACACUGUGUAUCUUCUUCUUCCCCUAACGCACAAAGGCAGGGGAAGAAGGUUUUUCUUCCAUUCCUUUGCAGCGUCUAUCUCUCCCUCUCUCCCCCUCCCCUUACCCAAAAACCAUGACUCCACCCAUAUGCCCUCACGGCCUACCACCAUGAUGAAAGAGGCAGAGGGGAAAAGUACUACGAGCUGCUCUAGGACGACUACACAGAGACCACCCUAGCCACCAUACCUCUGCGCCAUGACUAGACAGGGGUAGUAGCUCUCUCUGCUAUCUUUCCCCCUUAUAAAUACCAUGGGACGAGAGAAAAAAACAGCGAGAUAAAGAGAUGAAAAGGGGAGGGAAGAGAGCAAAAAAAACAGAAGAGAAACAAAAAGAAAUAGGGGAGAACAAAGGAAGGAAAAGGGAGAGAAACAAAAACAAAAAAACAUAGAAAAAAAGAAAGAACAGGAGAGACAAGAACUAGAGAAGAAAACAAAAGAGAACAAAAAAAAUAGAGAACAAGAGAGGAACAAAAAAAAAAGGAAAGAGAGGAAUUCCAUGCCCCUGUACAGAGAAGAAAAAACCGCAACAGCAACCACCGUUUUUUCUCCCCACCGUCGCCUGCUUUCCUUGUCACCAUUAUUAGCACCGCCGCGAAGCCACCGCCAGGUCAACCUCUUCUCCUUCUCUUUUUUCUUCUUCUCCUUCGGUCACCCUCCACUAUUUUGCAAGUGAAUAGUGGAGAGUGAAUUAUAAUUUAUUUUCUACUAUUCACUUACAGAACAGUAAAGAGUCUCUCUACUGUUUAUUAGGUCGAACCAGUUCCGUCCCAGACCAAAAUGGUGGGGUCAGGUUCAGCCCAGUCCCAUAAAUAGAAAAGAAGUUUUGUUGGGCUGACAACGACCUAACCCCUAUUUUAGGCUGGUGUUGGCCCAACUCUUUUUGGCUGACUUUGGCCUAAUUUAUUUUGGGCUGAUCUCAUCUUAGACAGGAUGGGCUCCGCCCAUAUAAUUGGGCCGAGCCCAUCCCAAUAUAUUAUAAUAUAAUAAUUUAUAUAAUAUAAUAUUAUAUAUUAAUUGAAAACAAAAACAAAAAAUUCCAAAAAUCCUUUUAAAAAAAUUAUGAUUUUCUCUCGUAUUUUUAUAGCAAUUUUGAUUAAUAUUGGUUUUUAUUUUUAUACUGUAAAAAUAUAAAUCCGGUAUUAAAAUACUUGGUUUUCUAUGAAAUAUUGCAAAAAAAUAUAAAACAAUAUCAUGUUUUCACGCAUACGACCAAAUCUCUCAAAAAUAUAAAAAUUUUCAUAUUGUAUUUUCAAACCAUAACAAAAAUUCAAAAAAUAUGUAUUAAUAUGAUUUUUGAGCAUUAAUAACCAAUUUAUUAAAGCUAUGAGAAUUAGGUCAAUAUUUCAAAAAUACAAAAAAAAAUUAUUUUAUUUUCUUUUAAUAUCUAGGAUUACGAACUUAUACGUAAAAUGUAUUUUCAAUAUUAAAUAAGAGUUGGUUCUUUUUUUUUUGUUGAUAUUAGAACGGUUAGGUUUUUUCCGAUAAGAUAAAGAUUUCCUUACCGAGAAUGAUUUUUCUUAAACCUUAAACAAUCCAACCAUUAGAAAACACGACAAUACUCUAGUUAUAUCAGACAAUCAAACAAUACAGCUUACCUUAAGUAUGAUGUAUUUGGGGUGCUAUUGCAUUUUCUUUAUGCAACCAGUUCCCGUACCUGAUUUCUGAGACAAUUAAGGUUUCUAGUGACCAAAAUACUAAGUAGUGACUUUAAUUUGCUUUUUUUUGUUAUGUAUGGACACAAACUGGCUGUUGGUUGCCAUGUCAAACAUGGUUGCAUGGUGAAGAUCAAGAAUUGUUGCUGAAUAUUACAUAUAGUGGUAGGAGUAGCUGCUAUAAUUGACUAAAAUGGGGAUGAUUGUCUCCUAUAUCAGAUAUAAAUAGAGGGUGUUAAUAAGACCUGAGUGACACACGAAAAUAGAGAAAAACACGGGGAGAGAGAGAGAGCUAGAGAGAGUUGAGUUGAAUAGAGAAAAAUUUUCUACUCCUCCUUAUUUUAUUGUUUGUAUUGUUUCUAAGUUUGAUUAAUAUAAAAUAGUAACUCUGUGGAGGAGGCAGAUUGCUUAACUAAAUAAAUUGUGUAUUUGAUUUCUAAAAUUUUCUAAUAUUUUUUUAUUAUUAAAUAAUAAAAAUUUCUUAUCCUGUUUAUCUCUCGAUUUCUAAAUAUUAAAAAAAAACUUGACUCAGGAAAUGUACGAAAUAGUCACAGUUUUGCGUGCUCACAAGUCACAAGGUAAUCUACCUAUAAGCAACCAUUUUCAAAGUCAAGACACGCGUGUUCAUGUCAUCAUUCACAAUUCAGGAAAUGUACGAAAUAGUUUUUCUUGUAUUUUUUAAAAAUGAUCAAUAUUAAUAUCAAUUCAAUAAAAUUUAAAAAAUAAUAUGUGAAAAGUCGAACGCGUUUCAAAAACCUUUAAAAAUUUAAAUUCUUUUUUAAACGACAUUGAAAAUACUAAAAACGAUGCAAAUAUAUUAAAAACAUAUUUUUUUAGAUUUUCAUUAUUUUUCACUAUUUUUGAAUUUUUCAAAAAUUUUAUCAAAAAAAUGAAUAAAAAAUUAGGUAACAUCAAUACCUAUAACCAUUCAAUUUCAAAGUCAAGACACGCGUGUUCAUGAAGUAUACGUAUCAUCAUUCAUUUUCCAAGUCAAGACCGACUCUUGAAUUAAUUGUAUGAGAAAGGAUUUAUAAAUUCCACAACGAAUAAAUCAAACCUCUCUCCCAUUAAUUAAUUGCUUUUUUGUUAUUUCAAAAGUACUUUUUUUAAUUUUCAAUCCAAUCAGUCUUUUAAUUAUCUUUUGUCAAUUUUUACUCAGUCUUUUGUACUGUUUUGAUGUCUUAUAUCUAUUAUAUGUAUGAUAGUUUCUCAGUUUUUUUGGAUUUGGAAAAUUUUUCUAGGUCGCUGGAAGAACGACUCUGUGACCGUAUCCUUCAUGUAUCGAAUUUCCAGCACUUAUUUUACAUCAGCCACUUGCAGGUCAUGAGCCCCCUGCUCUUUUGCUUUCCGACGAAUAUAAUCUUUCAUUCAUCAAAAAAUCCAAAAGAAGAAGAAAUUAUAUUUACCUCAGCAAUGAAUGACUUUUUCUCGGCUGCGAAGAGCCCAAGACCUUAAAUUUGCAGUUUAUAAAAGCAACUGAAGAGCUUAUUUCAAUGUUUAUUUGUGCAUUAAUAGAUAAAUAUAUUAGAGUAGGGCAAUAUUGUGUAAUCUUCAAUCCCAUCAUACCACAGAAAAAAAAGAUCAAGUAAAAGUUGAGAGUGGUCAGUUUUUGAACAAAACAGGCACUUAAACAGGUUUUGACUGUUUGUUUUGAAGGGCCACGCCAGAAGUUUAAAAAACAAAUAUCAAAGAAAUUUUAUUUAUUUGACUACUUAAAGAACCUGGACAUGAUCCACAUUACUCCCGUUUAAUGUUAAUUUCAACCUAUGUCACAAGUCACAACUGCUUCGAAGAAAAUAAUACGAAAGUACUAUUUCGAGGAAAGUAUAGUUUUCCAAUUCAACAUCAUGGAAAAGUUUUUGAAAUGAAUUUAAAUGUUGAAUACUUUUCCAAUUCAACAUAUUGUGUCUCAUAUAUAUAUCAGCUAGCUAACCCUCUCCAUCUCUACAAUCACCCAUCUCGCAGACUAGCUCGCUCUCUACACAUACCAAGACAUACAUUUGAUUCCCUAAAAAUCUCAGGUUUCUUUCGUGUCGAAAAUGGGGUCUCAAGGAAAGGCUCGAUACUUGACAAUAAUAGUACUCCUAAUUGUUACCAUUAUUUUGUUAUCAUGUUCUAACCUUACUGUGAUAGCAAGAAUGGAUCCAACUCCAUGCACAUAUGACCGCAAGCAUCCUAGUGAGUGCCACAUCGGUGAACCAGCUGCAGCUACUUAAUUUAUCCAUGGAUAUUAUUUAUGUGUCCUCCUUCGCUGGUUUAGGUUACUUCCUAGCUAUUGUCAUGUUUUCUUUUCCCAAGCUUUUUGGCGUUUGCACCCAUUAAUUCUUCACCUUGCUUUGAUUUGCCAACGUUAUGAUAUUAAUAGAGUAUUGUGUAUUUACAAGUUUUUUUUAGAAGUCGACAUACUUGUUGGUUAUUAAUAUCUUUGAUUUGCCAAUGAUAUCAUAGCCAGCAAAAUGAGCAAACCUGAUACCAAAUAUAGCAACUGAUCAUAACCUUACCAGUUUGAGUAAAAUCCAAAGAUAUUACGUACUGGUGCAAAAGUUGUGAUAACAUCAAACAGCAAAACAACAGCUGAGGAAUUGAAGGCAGGAAAGCAGCAACCCAGAAUAACAACAGCGGUCUUGGGUGUGAUUCUGGAAGGUCGUAUACGAAUAAGGAAGAAGAAAUCAACAACGAUAAUUGCAAUAUGUUCAAAAUAAACAUGCCUGCAACCUGUAAUAUUUGCACAUUCACUUUUGAUAUUUUCCGUUUGCACAUUGUUUGAUGCAUCUGUUCCACUAUCUUCUUCAAACUAGACAAGAAAAAAACUACAAGCAUAUUUCCAAGGAUUGACUAACAAGCAUAUAUAAGUAAAUGGACAUUUGAUUUUCUUCUCCAGAAAUGAUUAUAGAGAAAAUAGUUGUUCACUCCACAAAUAGCAGGUGAUUAUCUACAGCAUUUUUUAGUCGAACUUCAUAUGUAAACUUCAUAACCUUAGUCUGGGAAGCAAUUCAGCUCUAACUCACAGUUUCUAUUGAAGUUCAUCUGAACUUCAAAUUUAUGACCCUAAGAACGCAUCGACCUUAGCAUUUGUUCUCCUUGACAAAAACUUCAUGCAAAUGGGAGGUUUUACUCCUGCUAGAGCAAGUAUCGAACUAGGCAAAGUCCAUAUCCCGUCCCCACAAAUCAAACCAGAAGCCACUGCUGGCCCAAAAGCAUCUGCCUUUGCCUUGUCAAUCUUUUCCCAGAUAAAUAGAAUCAAGCUUCCCACACACAUGUCGAUGGCAAAGUAUGAGCCAAUAUAGAAAGGUAUAGCCAUUGCCAUUGGAUUGGGAAUGAACCUAGCCCGUUUCUUACCCAACACAUCCUUGAUCAAAUUUAUCAGAAUAGCUGCACCGAAGAACCAAUAACAAAGAUAGAGACAAUUCUUUGGUAGAGACGAGAAUCCUUCUACCCCCAAUAUAGCCAUGUUUCGAAAUACAGUAGCAUAAGGAGCAGGGUAUUGACUUCCAGGAGUCCCCAGAUCCUUGAAGGCCUUAAAAAAAAGCCAAAAUACACACGGGGAAAUCAUGCAACCCAUUGCAGUGCCAAUUAGUUGGCUCACAAACAUCGAACGUGGUGAAGAAAGGGUCAAAUAACCAGUCUUGAAAUCUUGAGAUAGGUCAGAGGCUGUGGAGACAAUAUUCAUCAUGACUCCACAGGCCGCUAGUCCUGCAAGAACUCCACCAUGAGAGCCACCAGCCCAUGCCCCAAUUACAAAAAUUGCAAGCGUCCCAUAGGUGGAAGCAAGGGACCAAUCAGUGAGUCCACAACCAUAAGCAUUACAGAAUGCAAGGGCUGGGGCAAAGAUGUAGAUAACCAAUAUGUAAUACCAUUUCAGUUCAGGAAAUAUAUGCGGAACGGUGGUUGUAGAAAUGGCAGCAAUUGUGACAUAACCUGCAACAGCAAACCAUGUUGGAAUUUGAUCUUUGAGAAAGAGGUGGGUGCGACGUUGCUCAUCAUAGGAGAUCCUGGAUGUCUCGGGAGAGGAACGGUCAGCAACAGGCAGAGCACCAGUUGCAUCUCUCCCACGAAGUUGAAAAAACAAUGCAGCGAGUGUUCGGCUUAGAACCUUGAAGAAGUUGUACAGACCGUCACCCAAGACCAAGGCAGUGGCAAUAAAUACCUGUGUUCAAUGCAUAAGCGUUGGUAUGAAAGAAAAGGCUUCAAGAAAAUGUUAAAAAUCAUGUAAUGGGCAUUCUUGUCACCUUAACCUUGUUAGAAAACUUACCUUGUAACCUUGGAGGCCAUGUAAGCUGCCUGGUUUGAGGUCUGCUGGAUACCAGUCACCCUUUUUUGUAUCUAUGAGAGGCCACAUGAGACCCCAGGAAAGAAUUCCUCCAAGCAAUACUGAUAUGUUUAUGAUAUAUGGGCAAAUCAUUCCAACUCCAACAUAUGUUGCUGAGAAAUCAAAGAAAAAUCUGCACAUGUAACAAGAACAUUAUUAGUCAAAGAUACCACAACGAAUUUGAAACAGAAUGCCAUAAUAAAUGGAACUACAUUCAACAAGAAGAGAGGAUUUUGGAAGAUUGAGUAAUGCUUUUACUUGUUUUCAUGUGCUUUAAGACCAAGUGAGGGGAACUCAGCGAAUCCACAACCAUCUCCUGCAGUGUAGAACCAUUGAAAGAAACCCCACAAGAAGCUGAAUGAGAAGAACUUGCCCAACACUCUCACUUGUUUCCUGUAACAGUAGAAUAACAAAGUUCGAUACUCUUUCAUGUCAAAUGAUCAUCCAUAUAAGUGCAUGAGGUCUCAUAAUGCCUUACUUUGCUAGCUUGGCUCCUGCAGGAGUGUGGAAGCUGUUGAUGAGAUGGGCAGUUGCAGUGCCACUUGGAUAUGUCAAUUUGAAGUCUAUAAUCAUGACCUGGAAAUAACCAGGGUAACAAUGAGGAUUAGUUUUUGGCAAAAUCAAUACACUAGGCAAAAAUGUAAAAUGCAGAGAAAAGUUUUAUAUUUCCUAUAAUCAUAUAAAGAAAUUGAAUGCUGAUAUAGGUUGUAAAGUCUACCUUUCGAAGAGGCACCGCCGAAAAGAGUCCAAGAAAGCUAACAACAAACAAAAAGCCAAUCAUCCAAGACAGAGAUGGAUUUUUAAAGGCAUCACUAUCUUCAGUUAAUUGUUUGGCCACGGUUUCACUCAUUCCAAACAGAUAACUCCCAAAGCCUCCUAUUAUAAGGAAACAAGGAAAAAAUUAUAGAAUGGAAACCAUUGGUACAAAAAUCAACAAGUUUAAUAUCAUCAUAAGCAUAAUCACAAAUUAGCCGUUUCAUUACAAUAAUUAAUUCAGUUUCGAAACAAGUUUGGCAAGUAAUCAGGCUUUUCUUGACUAUUUGGAUAAGUUAGAAACAUAAUGUAUUCAUCUUGACAUUAUGUUAAUGAUUCACAGUUAAAGAAAAGGUUUGAUUAAUAACUCAAGCUCACAACUAGCAUUCUAGAAACAGAUAUUAUUCACAUUUUCCUUUCUUUUACUAAUGGAGAAGACUUCUUUUUCCACAAAUCAGAAUAUUGUUAUAAGACUUCCUGACAUAAAUCUGAACUUAGUAAGUCAUCCAUAUCCAGCGCAUAUGAAUUGAACUGUCAAAAAAGUAUCUGUCAAGUGACAUACCAGCUGCACCCCUAACAUUAUCACACUCCAGGAGACAGAGAUAGAUUUGUUCAUGUCUCUAAUGGUAAGUUCAAGUGUUGAUUAGUUUAGCAAAACUUCACAAGUGGUAGUCAUAAAGCCUCAAUUUUGAUUUGUCUCUCAAAGACUUUAGGCAGUAAGAGAUUCUUUGUCUUCAAGGAUCAUGCAAAUCUACUCCCAUCUGAGAUAAAAGGGAUCCAGAGAGAGAAAAAUGGUUGCCUUAUCAUGUAAUCUAGCAAUUAGAAGAUGGAAAUCUUGACAUUGAAUUUUAGUAACUACUGUAAGUUUGCAACCUUUAAGAACAGAAACAAAACCAAAUGCACAGAAAUAUUAAUAUCUUGAUCAAAGAAACCUAGAUAUCUCCUCAACUUCGAAAGAAAAGAGAAAGAAAAUUGAAUUUCAAAAUAAUUAAGAAAGAUGAAAUGAAAAUUAAUGGCAGUAAACAGUAUAGAAAGUAUACCACUAAAGGCAAUGCCAGAGGAGGCAACCACGCAAGUCUGUAUUACAGUGUUCUCUUGCCUCGUAAAGGGUUGCUUCAAAAGUCCAGACUUUUCAAGAAACUUUGUCCAGGUCUUGAUAAAAAAGAAGCCCAGAAGGCCAGCAGAGACAUUGAGGGAAGGUAUGAUACCAGUUGUAAGAUUGAGCUUCAUUACUAUGACGCAGAACAAAAUGCUCAACACGAAGCUCACCACAAGGGCCCUCAGUGUCAGCUGAUUCCUCCAUGAUGGCACUUCUUGGUUCUCAAAUAUUCUUUCCACUGACAACUCUUCUUCUUGUUCCUCUUUCUUGUCCUUCUUUCUGUGACCAUGAUCAUCCUCCAAAUCAUGAUCAUUCUCUACCUUGGUGUCGUCUCUUUCAUUACGUUCCAUUUUAUUUUCUUAAAAGAAUGAUUCUUUAUGGAGACGAAGAGAGUUGGGAGCGUGUUUAAUAAGUGGUUGUGAUUAUUGCUCAACACAUCACAAGCAAAUUGAAUACGAUGAAUAUGAGGAGUUGUUAAAAGUUAAAACGGGUUGUUGUAGUGAGUUUAACCUGUCUGUUUUUUUGGGUUAUUUUUUUUAAUUUUAUUUAAUAUUUUUGAAUUAUUUUAAUAUAUUAAUAUUAAAAAUAAAUUUUAAAAUAUAAAAAAUAUAUUAUUUUGAUAGUUUUUAGCAAAAAUUAUUUUAAAAAACAUCUAUUAUUAUAUUUUUAAACACUCUUUAAAAUAACAAAAUGACUCUAAAUGACAUGUGUUUGAGUUAAGUUUGUAAUUUUUAUAUAUGUGAUCUGUAGGUACUUUUAAAGAAGUAGAUUAGAAAUAUAGUAGAAAUUAUUUUUAAAAUAAUCUCAAAAUAUUAUUUUAAUAUUUUUUUAAAUUAAAAAUAGAAAUUAUUUUCAAAACAAUUUGAAAAUAAAAAUAUUAAUUUUAAAAAGGAAUGUUUUAAACAAGUUACCAAAUGGCCACUGAAUCCAAUGCCAAAAGCUUCUAUUUCUAAUUUGUGGAAGACGAGAAGUCAAUAGUCAAUUUCCAAAAAAUUAAAAAAAAAAUAAAGGGAAAAUAAAAGAUCUGUGAAUGUCCAUUGUCCAAAGUUUGUGGGAAAAAAAAUGAUAUAAGAAAUAAAGAAAAUGAUAUUAAAUUACUUAAAGAAGCUAGACUAGAAUAUAGUAGAAUUUAUUUUUAAAUCAAUUUAAAAACACUAUUUUAAUAGUUUUUAAAUUAAAAAUAAUUUAAAAAAUAAUUAUUACUAAACUCCCAAAAACCUUUAAAACAAUAAUCAUGCAUAUGAUAUUUUUCAGCUUCUUUUCAUAUUCUUAGGACAAGCCUUCAACAUAUUUGUUACAAGUCUCAUAUUCGCUGAAGCUUUUAUCGUCUUCCUCGACGCAUCUGAUAUUUUUUCCAUCUUUUUUUUUCUCGUGUUGGAUAACUAAGUCUGGCAUGGUUUUAUUGUGAGACUGAUAAUAACACAGAUGCACAUUGGACCACCUGAUAUGAUCAUAGCUAGCAAAAUGAGCAAACCUGAUACCAAAUAUAGCAACUGAUCAUAACAGCUCACAAAGGGUACUGUAAUUUUCACUUUUCACAUUGCUUGAUGCAUCUGUUCUACUAUCUUCUUCAAACUAGACAAGAAAAAAAACUACAAGCAUAUAUAUAUAUAUAUAUAUAAGUAAAUGGACAUUUGAUUUUCUUCUCCAGAAAUGAUUACAGAGAAAAUAGUUGUUGCCUUGUUGGCUCCACGGAAUAGCAGGUGAUUAUCCACAGCAUUUUUGAGUCGAACUUCACAUGUAAACUUCAUAACCUUAGUGUAGGAAGCAAUUCAGCUUUACUUCACAGUUUCUAUUCAAGUUGAUCUGAACUUCAACUUUAUGACCCUAAGAACGCAUCGACCUUAGCAUUUGUUCUCCUUGACAAAAACUUCAUGCAAAUGGGAGGUUUUACUCCUACUAGAGCAAGUAUCGCACUAGGCAAAGUCCAUAUCCCAUCCCCGCAAAUCAAACCAGAAGCCACUGCUGGCCCAAAAGCAUCUGCCUUUGCCUUGUCAAUCUUUUCCCAGAUAAAUAGAAUCAAGCUUCCCACACACAUGUCGAUGGCAAAGUAUGAGCCAAUAUAGAACGGUAUAGCCAUCGCCAUUGGAUUGGGAAUGAACCUGGCCCAUUUCUUACCCAAAGCAUCCUUAAUUAAAUUUAUCAGAAUAGCUGCACCGAAGAACCCAUAACAAAGAUAGAGGCAAUUCUUUGGUAGAGACGAGAAUCCGUCUACCCCCAAUAUAGCCAUGUUUCGAUAUACAGUAGCAUAAGGAGCAGGGUACUGACUUCCAGGAGUCCCCAGAUCCUUGAAGGCCUUGAAAAACAGCCAAAAGACACAAGGUGAAAUAAUGCAACCCAUUGCAGUGCCAAUUAGUUGGCUCACAAACAUGGACCGAGGUGAAGAAAGGGUCAAAUAACCAGUCUUGAAAUCUUGAGAUAGGUCAGAGGCUGUGGAGACAAUAUUCAUCAUGACUCCACAGGCCGCUAGUCCUGCAAGAACUCCACCAUGAGAGGCACCAGCCCAUGCCCCAAUUACAAAAAUUGCGAGCUUCCCAUAG
rnacentral:lncRNA from 1 species